UAUUGUUUUUUUUUGUCAAAUAACUCUGUUAUCUACAGUUUCAUGAUGAAGUUACAUAUUUUGAUUAAACCUUUGUAAAAUUAGCUAGAGAGAUAUGAUGCACUUACAGUGUGCCUGCAACGCGUGUACUAAUAUGAGUGGUAUUUUCUGGGAAUAGCUUAGAGAGCCCAAAAUCUGAAAUUUUAGGAUUGAAAUUUUGAUCCAAAAGAAUAUUGCUAGUUUUGAUAUCUCGAUGCACAACAUGUGGUUGAAUUUCCUCAUGAAUAUAAGCAAGUCCCCGAGCAAUUCCCAUGAUAAUUUCUCGCCUUGCCUUCCAGCCAAAUUUAGCUCUACUUUUCUCCUCACCUGUCAAUUAGUUCAAGAAACCAUAUGAGUAAAAAUAUUGCCACUCUUAUAAAAUUACAAUACGAAUUUUGUAUCAUAAGACAAAUGAUGUCGCACACAUAAUGUUUGUUUGUUAACUUAUACACACUAAUGAUGGAAUGGUAAUGCGGCAUACCUGACGUAUCAUUCAAAGAUGGGUAUUACAAAAUGUAAAUCAGAAACUCAACACGCAUUAAAACGAUCGGUGAUAGAUAAGUUAGAUUACAAAAUGAGCUUUAACAUUAACAUGCCUCAACACCAAAGAUAGGGAGAUAUAUAUAUACAUACGUACCAAGCAAAGUUUGCGAGAGACUGUUGUUUGGCAUGUAGUCAUAAACAAGAAUUCUACAAGGCCCGUCAAUGCAACCACCAUGAAGCUUUACAAGAUUUUCGUGACAAACAUUUACAUUGGCCAUGGAAGCUACUUCUGACAUGAAUUCUUUCUCUCCUUGCUUGGAUUCCACCGAAAGCACUUUCACAGCAACUAUUGUUCCAUCUUGAAGCCUUCCCUUUAAGAUCAAAUAUUAACAUUUUUCAAAAACCAAAACGCUAGUGUUACCACAGUCAUUUGAAUUGGAACCAUAAACUCAAUUCAUACUUAUAUUUUAUUUUUUUUUCCCAGUAUUGACAUGCUUCAAUAAUUAGGACAACAUAUACUAAUAAACAUGGUUCGAAAUCUGUGAUGAGAAGGCUUUCGGCAUAUUUUUUCAAAAUAUAAGUCUAAGCCCAUUUGUAAAAUAAUUUAUUGUAAUUUGAGAAUUUGAGAAUGCCUUCAACAGCAUAAUUUUAGAGACGGUUUUUAACAAUAAAAUAAUAAAAAAAAUUAAAAAAGUAUUUGGAAAAAAAGAAGAAGAAAAAUGGAACAAUCAUAUAUACCGUAAUUAAUGUAAGAUUAUAGAAUGAACAUACCUUAUAAACGGAGCCAAAUCCACCUUCUCCAAUCUUAUUGGACCAACGGAAGCCAUUGGUGGCAAUUUUCAGUUGAUUGUAGGAGAAUGCAUUAAUAUUUUUCAGAAUUUGUUCACCUUAUUUCAUGAAAAAAAAAUUUUAAAAAAAAUUAGCUAUAUGUUAAUACAUAUAAUUUUUUUUUUAUUUUUGAGAAAUAAUGUAUAUGAUGUUAAUUUGCUGAAGACAAAUAAUUAAUUUACAUUUAGAGAAUGAUGUGACAGCGAUGCUGGAUUGACAUGUAAUACCAACUUUAGUGAUAGUCAAAUUAAUUUGCAAAAAAAAAAAAAAAAGCACCUUGUGGAAAGUAAGAUGCAUGAAUUAUCACAUGGAAUUAUCACAUGAAAGUGACGUACAAUUGUUUUUUUUAGAUUUUAUGAAAUUAAUUCUAUGUCCAUUUCACUUGCUACCUCAAAAAAUAGAGAAAGAGAGUGAUUGUCACUUUUCUCCACAAAAAUUUUAGGAUGAAUUGUUCAUUAAAAAUUUUGACGUUAAGGGCAACGGGAGUAUUAUAAAAAUUGUAGGGGAUAAGUGAUAAAAGAAGAAUUAUUAAAGUAGAAAAGUUAUAAUUCUCAAAAAGUAAAAAUAGGAAAAUUAAAAAAAAAAAAAUUGGGCACUUGGCAACUAGCCUAAGCCUUCAGCCGCCGUGGAUGGCUGGAUUUGUUGACAAUUGCGACUCUAAUAUUGAAUUUGGGGAAAAUGAACUAUCACAAGGUAAAUUACUAGAUAAAAUUUUGUGUAAAUAGAGUUAUUAAAACAUAAAAAUGAUUAAUUUCAUAAUUUAAUUAUGCCACGAGUUGAACAAACUUUUAUCUUUUUUACAAUUUGUUAUAGGAAGAACUGGCUCUCCAAUUUUUUUUUUUAAAAUGCAUAAAUUCAUUCGAGGGUAAGACUCUAAUCUCUAGAUAAGGGCACUAAAAACAUAACACAACUAAUGAUUCUAUAUAUGUAGCUUUCUAUGAAAGAACCAGAAAUGUUACGUAAAAUGAUCAGAUGAAGAUGAAGAAAAGACAGGUGAAAAGAGAUUUUUUUUAUUUUUUUUAUUUUGCAGAUAAAUUUAUAAAUUACCUCCUAUUGUGUUCUCCGCAGAGACUCUUGAUGGAAAAGAAAAGCAAGAAAAAAUGGACUUCAUUUCAUCAAAUUCAAAUAUGCAGGGCUUGCAGGAAAUUGAAUUUUUUUUAUCAGUUAUUACUUCUGAACUUCCAUGGCCGUGGAUGCCAACACCUGCGGCUUUGUCAAAUACAAGUGAAAGAAAGAUAAAAAGAGACACUCAGCAUUACAAUAAAAUGUGAUGAAUUAAGUGGCUCUUAGCUGAUUUAAGGUUUAUAUAUAAAUGAUCAUAAAAAUGAGAAAUAUUUUAUUGCCAAUGGGGUCGAGAGUGGGAGUCACAAUUAAACCGGAUUAAGUGGGGACAAUGCAUUUCAAUUCAUGGACAAAUUGAGUGCGAAAUUAAAGAGAGUGGGGUGGCGGGCCUGGCGGCUGGUCUAAAAUUAUAUUUAAUUUCCUGCUGACUUCAAUCCGAAGACCAAAAAUAAGUGGAAUUAAUGGUAUGACAAACUCGUAUUGCAACUUAAAUUUCUACAACUACUCAUUGGAAGUGUUGCCAUCAAUCAACAACGUACAUUUCUAUUACAGAUUAAUUGAACAUGUGCCUUAAUCCAAAAUUUCGACAUCAUCACAACUUCGUCUCAGAAGAUAUUCAUAAUAGUUUAUUUUAUUCAAGUAAUAUGCAGAUAACAAAUAUUAUAAUUCUUUCUCUCUCCUCUCUCUUUUACUCUACUGAUUAUUAUUAUUAUUUGGAAAAUUUAUGAAAAUAGUCUAAAAGCAGGAUCAAUUUACGAAUUCAAAAUGUACAUUUUGAACCAAAGGCCCCUUAGUAAUAUUAUAUGGAGCUCUGAUCGCCUUCCAAUCACUAGUGGAUUGAGUACAUGACAUGUCAAUCUCAAUAGCUCAUCGACAGCCUGUCUAGCUAGCCAGUGCACCACAUUAAUUAGUUGCACCAAUGGGCCUUGAUGUUUGAAAUGCCAUUUUCAUAAUUUAUUUUUUGUGCUGAUUUUUUUGAACAAAGUAAAUCAUCCUCAUGGCUUUAUCCUAGGAGAUAAAUAGAAAAUGCUUUCCUUUUCGCCCUCGGAAUCCCUAAGUCAUGCUAAUUUGGUUUCUUAUGAAGUAAAAAGAAAUGAUAAAAACGAGAGAGUUUGUGUUCUUAUAUCAUGGAAUUAUAAAUUUUCAUCAUCAAUUGGAAAGAACAUGAAAAAAAUAUAUAUUUUGUGAUAAUUUAAUGGUGAGCGUAUAACAUAAUUAAACUUUAUUGAGAUAAUUAAAUUAAGUAUUACUUUUACCCUAAAAGGGUUUCAUGAAGUGAUUUUUUUUUCACUGGCCACCUAAAACACCUAGAGGAAACAUCGAGUUAAAAAUUAAUAUGAACUUAGUCCGCUCUUCUACUUUGUUAAUACUAAUUUUCGAACAUUAGAUUUAUUUUUAUCUAAAUCUCUAUCAUACAAAAAUUUAUACUCUACAAGGUGUACAAUUGUUGGCUGCUCUACUUUCUAAUUCUAGAAUUGCUUUGUGACGAGCGCUGCUGGCCUACUUUCACAUCCAUGAUAUUAGUUAAUAGCCCUGGCUGCGAUAUUUCCACUUCAUGUAUGUCGAUUUCAUCGUUCAUUAUCUUGGUCACCGUUGACAUAAGGGGUCGGAGGUUUGAUUUUUCUUGCACGCACAAUAGCCCAACUUUUAGAAGUCUAAUGGCUUCAUUUUUGUUGAAUCUGCCACUUAGCAAAGGAUCCACUAGAUGCAGAAGCUCCUUAGACUUGUACAUUCCCCAAGCCUGCUUGGAAGCAUAAUGAAUAUGUUGGACCAAAACCAGAAAGAAUCCGAUCUUGGUUCCCCAAGAUCCACUCAAAUUCUCUGUAACCCAAGAAUGAUUUAUAAUCAACCCAAACUUGAUGAAGAAACAGACACUAAAACAAUUUGAAACCAAAUCAAGAUAAAGAACUGAAAACACACACAAAAUGGCACAAAAGAAUUAUAGUGGUUCAACCACUUAGGUGACCUACAUCCACUGUGAAAAUGAGAGCAAGCUUUUACUAAUUUGGCCUUUACAGAAUACAAAAGAUGCUGAGUAAUUGUCACCCACUGGAAUAAAGCUAAUAACAACUCUCAAGGUUUUAUAUACAACACGAAAUAGCUUCUAAAAUCACUAUCAGAAGCCAACUCAACGUUAUUGAGUUUGUUAGCAACAAACCCAGAAAAUUCCCGCGCCUUUCAACAGCUUUACCAGUUAUUUAACAAGCUCUUAGACACGUGUUGCAAUCACCUGAGAAACGUUGUCUUCAUCUGCCAUUUUGAAUAAGUAAUGCACGUGUUGAAUCACGUGCUCAACUUAUUCUUCCUGCUGACAUAACAGCUCUGUCAUCUAGCUCCCUUACUCGAGACAACCGACAUAUCAUCUGAUUUCAAGUUGCACAGCCGACAUAUCACACAUAGUCAAAACUUCAUAUUUGCAGUUCAUUUUUCAACAUUCUCCACCUUGAACCCAAAUCAGUUACUCAUCAUCUUUCCUUCUCACGCAACUCCUGCAGUUUAGAUCCUGCAGAUUCCAGCUGAGUUCACACAGAACUCAAACUUGGCACUUGGUAAGGAUUUGGUUAGCAUAUCUGCUAGGUUAUCAUUAGUGUGAAUCUUCACUAGUUUAACCACCCCUCUUGAUACUUCUAGCCUGACAAAGUGAAACUUGAUGUCAAUAUGUUUGGUCUUCUCGUGAUGUAUCAUAUUUCUGCUCAAACAAAUAGAACUCUGACUAUCACAGUGGACUGUAACUUGUUUCUGGUCAAAUCCCAAAUCAGUCACCAUUCCUCUAAGCCAGAUUGCUUCUUUAAUUGCUUCAGCUGUUGUAGUGUACUCGACUUCAGUUGUUGACAGAGCAACAACACUUUGUAGAGAAGCUUUCCAGUUUAUGGUGCAACCAUUCAGUUUGAAUAGAUACCCAGUCAAUGACCUCCUCUUAUCCAGGUCUCCAGCAUAAUCAGAAUCCACAAAACCCUCUACACUGACUUCCUUUCCUUUAUCAACUAUGUAUGCUAAACCAUAGUUCAUGGUCCCAUUAAGAUACCUUAGAAUCCAUACCACAACCUUCCAAUGUUCUUUCCCUGAAUCAGCCAUAUACAUGCUUACCACACUAAUUGCAUAGGACAGGUUAGGCCUGGUUAGAACCAUUGCAUACAUCAAACACCCUACUGCACUUGAAUAUGGAAUUGAGCUCAUUUAAGCUCUAUCAACAUCAGUUUUAGGACAUUGUUGAGAGGACAAUCUGAAAUGAGCUGGUAGUGGAGUUUGGACUGGCUUUGAUCUUCCCAUUUCAAACCUUUCAAGUACUUUCUUGAUGUAUCUCUGUUGUGAUAAUACCAGAUUACCAUUCUUUCUAUUUCUUAUUAGUUCAACACCAAAGAUCUUUGCUUCUCCAAGAUCCUUAAUCUCAAAUGAACCCCUCAGUUGCUGCUUCAGAGCAUCUAUUUGAUUCAUAUGUUUAUAGGCUAUCAGCAUGUGAUCAACAUAUAAUAACAAAUAGAUCUUGCUGCCAUCUUCCACAUCCUUAUGAUAUACACAACAAUCAAAUGGACACCUCUGAAAGUUGUUCUCUGUCAUGAACCUAUCAAACCUCAAGUACCAUUGUCUUGGGGAUUGUUUAAGUCCAUAUAAGGAUUUUUAAAGGUGGUAUACAUAGUUAGGUUUUUCAGGAUUCACAUACCCCUCUGGUUGUCUCAUUACAAUCAUUUCAUCUAACUCACCAUGGAGGAAAGCAGUCUUGACAUCCAUCUGCUCGAGAUGCAUGUCAUUUACAGCUACUAAUGCCAACAAGAUUCUCAAAGAAGAGUGUCUUACCACUAGGGAAAAAAUCUCAGUAAAAUCAAUGCCUUCCUUUUGUGUAAAGCCUUUGGCAACCAGCCUGGCUUUAUACCUUUGUGGCUCAACACCUGGGAUUCCUUCUUUAAUCUUGUAAAUCCACUUGCAGCCAACUACUUUUCUGUUUGGUGGUCUUUUCAUCAAAAUCCAAGUGUGAUUUUUGGUUAAUGAUUGCAUCUCCUCAUCCAUAGCUGCCUUCCAUUUUCCUGAAUCAUCUCUGUUUACAGCUUUUGAUUUUUUAUUAAUGAUUGCACAAUAUGUGGUUUUUAUUUCUUCAUGAAUAUAAGCAAGCCCUCGAGCAAUUCCUAGUGUAAUUUCUCGCCUCGCUAUCCAGCUAAAUUUAACUCUAUUUUUCUCCUCACCUAUGGUUAUAAACAAUAUGAGUAUACUGCAACACUUGUAAAAUUAUAAUUACAAAAUUUGCAUCACUAAUAUUUUUUUGGAAUAGUUACUAUCUAAAGAUAUAAAUUAUACAUGCAUUCGUAGUACAGCCCAGAAAUUUGCCGAUAAACUUUACUCCCACUGACAACAUAUAUUGAGAUAAAUUUAUCCAUUUUCCAUAUUUCUGUGAAAAGAAAAAAGAGCCUCUAUGGCAGCUUGAAGUGGUGCUCACCAGUCCAAUGACUGAUUUGCAUCACUAAUCGACCAUAGAUCAAUGAUGAAAUGAGUAAUAUUAUACUUACAUAAUUAACAUAUAUUGUUUGUAUCCCAUCAUUUACUGCAAGUUACUAAAACAGUGGCAUAUUAAUUGUGAAUGAUAUAUAGAGUCAACUAAUAUGUGACACACCACACAUAUCAUUAAAUAAAUCGGGACAGAUUAUUGUUAGGAAAUCAACUCCACAAUUCAAGCAUCAACCCGUCAAAGAAUCAUGAGGGCAAUGAGACAUUUGAUCUGCUGCGACGGGUAUCAAAUAAUCACUCAUAAAUCGCCACAUCUUUAUGUAUAUAAACACAGUAUCGAUUGAAUAAAAGUCGAGAAAACUAAUUCAGUUUUCAUUCAACAAUUUCAAAAUUUUUUCGUAGUAUCAGAGCGUGAGAAUUACGUUUGGAAAAAAGCCAUUCAUCCUGAAGGGGAAAAGUUGAAUGCUAGUUCAAUUUAGUAACAACAUGUAAACAUUCUCAAACAUAUCCUAAUAUAAAAGAUAGAGGGAAAAUUUAUAUUGUACCAAGAAACGUUUGAGAGAGACUGCCGUUUUGCAUGUAGUCAUAAACAAGAAUUCUGGAGGGCCCAUCGAUGCAACCACCAUGAAGCUUAACCAGAUUUUCGUGACAAAUAUUUAUAUUGGCCAUGGAAGCAACUUCCGACAUGAAUUCUGUUUCUCCUUGCUUGGAUUCCACUGAAAGCACAUUCACCGCAACCACUGUUCCAUCUUCAAGCCUUCCCUUUAAGAUCAAAUAUCCAUUCUUCAACAAAUCAAUUAGGUUUCUAUGUAUAUAUUUUGAAGUUAUUAGAAUUAAUCAAACCAAAGCCUAUAAGUUUAAUGUAAAAUUUAAAAUUAGAUUAUGAACAUGCAUACCUUGUAAACGGAACCAAAUCCACCUUCGCCAAUUUUAUUGGAUGUACGGAAGCCGUUGGUAGCAAUUUUCAGUUCGUUGUAGGAUAUUUUUGAAAACUUGUACCCCUGUACUUUUCUUGAAUAAUUAAUUAUUGAGUAUUGAGAAUGAUGAAAUAACCAUGCAUGACGUUUGAUUAGGAGACAUAUUUUCUGACCUAUUAAAACAGGUAAGCUCUAGAAAAUUAUCAUGAAAGUGACGUAUAAAUAAUCAUACAUAUAACAGACGAUAAUUUUAAUAUGUUUGUAGGUUAUAUUCAAAGAAAAUGUAUAUAUCUUAUAUCUAUGGAUGGCUUUCUCAAUAAUGGCCAGCCAGCCUGCAGCAUCAAUAAGGUCAUUCAUAAUAGCCGAUUACUUGAUUGAUGACUUAUUUGUUUUCUUGACAAAUGCCAUCUGAUUAAAUUAUUGUGAUACGUUGAGGGGAUAAAGAUGCGUGCAUUCAUUAAAUAAGUGAACUUUUAUAAGACUUUUUUUCCCCCUCUAGAAAAUACACGAUUGGCAAUGAUUAAAAUAGGCAAAAAUCACUUCCUUAGUUCUAUGAACUGAAUGAAACCAGAAAUGCUGUAUUAUGUUUUUUUUUAAUUAAAAAAAUGUUGUACUAGAUGAUUAGGGUAAAAAGCAAAAAAGAAUUGAUUGUUUAAAAAAUUAACCAAUUAAUAAAAUACACACAUCCUUCGCAGGAUUUAUAUUUUUUUAUCAUUUACUCCUAUCUCUUUAGUGAAACAAACUCUUAACUAUUUUAUGGGUUAAUUUCUGUAUCAACUUAUUGAAAGCCAGACCACACUCUUGCCAAUUAAUUUUGAUUCCUCAUCGUGUUCAUUAACUUCAGAUAUCGAGCUAAUAUCAAGUUGAAUUCGAUUUGAGCUAAUUUUAUCUUAUUAACACUCUUGUAACUAUAACAUAGAUAAGCAAGAUUUAAAUUUUAAACCUUUAAUUUGUGUAAAAUGUCACUAGUUGAUCUAAUUACUGUCCCAAAUUUUCUUAAUUUUCCCAUUAGUAGUUCAAUGUAAUUAUUUCUGAAGAACGCGAAGCACUUGUGCCCUACCUAAGAUUGAGAAACAGAAAGCCGGUUCAAUCAUUGACUCAGCAGCCAGGCUUUCAACAAUGGAUUAAUUGAAUUAUUCAACCCUACUGUAUCCAAACUACAGUCCAAGGUCAAAGUGAGUCCUUAAACUUUGAGAAUUUGACAAAAUAUGAAGAAUUUGUCAAAUUGCUACUUUUGCAUGUCAAUAAAGGGAAUUGUCAAUUAUGUAAUCCCCAAACCUUUUCAGAAUAACUUGGUAUUCGCUUUCAAUUUUCAAAAUUUGUGUGCUUGCGUAAUUUGGAUCAUCAAUUCGGUGGUAAAUAAGCCAGAGAGACUAAGGAGUUUCAUCUAAAUUGCUUUGCCCUAAAAAUAUCUCAAGCGCCCCCCCCCCCCCCCCCCUUUUUGUACUGAUAAUACAGACAACUAAUAUUUACAACUGCUAUUCCAACAGACAAUUAUUGAUGUUUACAAUUAGACAAUUAACUAAGACAACAACUUUACAUUAAUGGUCCAUUUACUUCAUGGAAUGAGAAUGAGGUGGAAUGGGAAUGAGAAUCAAUUUACCAAUAAUAUUAAAUAAUGUAAUUUUUAUUAACUAGAUGCAUGUAUUAAUAUUAUUAUAAAAUGAUAUUAAUUAAAAAAAAUAAAAUUAAUAAUAAUAAAUGUUAAUAAUGAUAAUAAUAAUAAUAAUUAAUAAUAACUAAAAUAAUAAAGUUAAUAAAAUGCAAUAAUAAUAAUAAUGAAAUUUAAAAUAAUAAAAUUAAUUGUGAUUUGAACGAGGAUAAUUCGGAAAGUAUGAAAAAUUAGAGGGAUACAAAAGUAAGUUAAGGGAAUGGGAAUCCUCAUUCCCAACCCCCCUUCCCUCAUGGGAAUGAGAUUCUCAUUUCUUAUUCUCAAAUUAUGUGAGACCCACAUAUUUUAUUCUCAUUCACAAAUUACAUUUUGCCAAGUAAACAUGAGUUUCAUUCUCAUUCCCUAAACCCUCAAGUAAACACACUAUAAAUUCUAUGAAACACUCCACCAGAUUGUUUAUCUUUACUAAUAUACGAGAAAUGUCUGCUCUACUCACAUUUCACCAGGGAAAAGGACUGCAAACUGGCUCCACUCAAUCGUUCUUAAUUAAGGGAGAAUUUAUGUAGCUAAAAUAUUUCAAGCCUUGAACAUUGAAACACGUUUAAUUCUUUUGACAUGGUGUUGCAUUAUAAAGAUCUCAUUCUAGUAGGUACUAGCCUUAAUUUAAUAGGGGAAUAAAUAACCUUGCAAAUGUUGGUUCAACUUAAUAGAGGGAUAAAUGACCUAUAAUGAAACUAUGAUGACGUAGUCUAAACUGUUAAGUUCAUUGUCCCACAUCGACUAGAAUGAAUCCUGAGUUAAGUAGGGUUAGGCAUAUGAGAUUUGAGUAAUCAUCAACUCCAACAUAUGAAAUAAUUCUUAAGGUUAUAAAUAAUAAAAACGGCUCACAUAUCACAUCCAAGUAAGUACAGUAUUUCAACUAAAAUAAGAAAAGCAAAAUAAAUAGAAAAUGGGAGGGCCUAUUUUUUACAAAAAUUUUGACACAAAUCAUGAGUCAUUAGUUUCAAGCAAUUUAAUGGUAGAUAUUAAAAAAUCAAACUAAUAUUUAAUAAUAGUUAUUCAUCCACCAUCAGAUUUUCUGAAAUCAAUAGUUCAAAAUUUAUAUAGAAAUUUAAGUUAUAAUAACCUAAUCCAUUAAAAAUACUCUUGAACAGUGCUACAUCCCAAACUAAUGACUUAAUAAAUUGGGGGAUAUUUUAACUUAAAAUUUUUAUACAAAAUUUCAAUUAUUGAUCUCACACAAUUCAAUGGUAGACAUUGAAAGUCAAAAUAGCAAUUAAUGAUGCCAAUGUUGGAGAAUUUGAAUGAUUAAAUACUCUCUUUUCUUGUGAACUCAAUACAACUCCUCAAUUAGAAUUCUUUAAGAACUAAAAAGCUUUACUACUUCUUGUUUGCUUAAACCAUAUAAGAGAUGAGGUACUUAUACUUGUUACAACUUAAUCACUAGCCUAACUACCACACAAAUCAUAACCACAUAUUAAACCUAACAACUAUACCCAACAUCACAAAUUCUACUUACCACAUUAUCACAUUUAACACCACAAUUUUUAAUUACCUAAAGAAGCUUCCAUUAGCUAGAUCAAAGGUAAUUUGGGCUUCAAAGUUGUGUGGAUCAAGUUUAUGAUCCAACAACCAAUUCACUCACCAUAAAAUUAUAUUAUAUCGAUGGCUCAAAUUUUAUAUCAAAAUUUUAAGUUGAAAUAUUCUUUCCCUAAUAAAUCACAUUCGAUGCAUUUUAAAGCAUUUCAACACACUUGAAAUUUAAAAAAGUAAUAGCCUUUUCUAGAAGUAUAUAAUGGCUUUUUAUUAUUAUUAUAAGUUCGCAUGAAACUUGGAUAAACUCAAUACAAUAUAUCGUCCUCUUUUAUCUCCAUUUCACUAUCCAUUAUCGAUUUAUAUACUUCUGCUAAUCAUUCUACAAAUUUGGAUUUUUUUAAGUUCUUAGAAUUAAAGAAGAUUUAAUUAAUAAAUAAGUGCAUUAAUGUCAUAAAACAUAAUUAGAACAUGUGGGUAAAAGUGGUAGACAAAGGGCUAGUUUGAUAUUGCGAUAGCUGGAGAAAUAUGGUAUUUGUUCUAUGUAAAUGAAAUGAGCAUGCUUAUUAAAAAGGUAGCUAAGUGCUUAGUAAAGUGUGUUGUUGCAUUAGGUGUGAAUUUGAAAAAUAGAGUACAUGAAUUUGAUUUUAUUUUAUUAUAAAAGUGUUGUUUCAUUAUAUAAUGACCAAGGUAGAUAUAAGUUUAAACUAAUUUUUAUUUAUAUAUCAUGGGUCCUCUUCUUGGCAAAGAAAAAUUUUACCAUUUGAUUAUAUCCAUAUUUUUUCCUUGAAAUGGCUAGAAAAUCUUUAUCUAAAAUUAGGCCAGAUACUCUCUUUAGGGUAAUUCCAUCAAAUUCCACCACUGAACCAAUUUAAACCAAUUUAAAUGAAAGCUAAGUGCAUAUUACAAAUUUCAAUAUUAAUUUAAAUUCAUUAUUGAAUAGUUUUCAACAUUCUAUUUCUAUUAAUUAUUAAUUACUAUUUAUUUCUAAUAUAUAGAUAUUUUUCUAUUAAUAAUAUAUAUUCCUAAUAAUUAUUAGAUAAUUAUGUUAACUUUAUUAGAAUUCUAUUAAAUAGAUUUGAAUUAUAUAAUUUUGAUUAUUAUUAUUUUUAAUCUUAUUUUUUAUAAUAAUAUAAAUUUUCAUGGUUUAGAGAAAAAUAAGAUAUGAUUGUCUUUUUAUUAAAAAUAUUAAUAUUAUAAUAGAAAUUUUAAAAAGAUGGGAUUGCUUAUUGGAUAAACUGCUUAUAAAAAGUAAUCUCAUAUUUGCUUUUAAAUUUUUUUUGUUAAAAUGGAGAAACUUAUAAAAUAAGCAACUUUUAAAUAACUUACCAAGGUUUUUGUCAAAAUUUAUGAAAUAAGUAACUUAUAACACUUAAUAUGAAAUGGGGACAAUUUGCAUAAUGUUAUUGAAUUUUUUUUCCUUUAAAUGGGCUUACUUUUAAAAGUUUGAAAGCAUAGAAGAAACUAGAAAGGACCUUUUUGGUAUUUAGAUACUGUGACUUAAAAUCUACAUCAAUUCUAAAAGGAAAAAAAAAACUGACUAUAAAAUAAAAGUUAAUGUUAUAUUGUAAAUAUAACUUUCAAAUUAAAAUUUUGCAAAAACAAUUUAUAUAUAUAUGCAUAUAUAUAAAUUUUUAUCAAACAAGUAUUAAAUCAAAUCAAUCUAAUUUCCAAAUCACAGUAAUAAAUGUUUGCCUAAUAAUUUAGUGACGUAUCUUUUAAGAUAUAACUACCAACCACACUGCAACGGAUCUUCUUUUUCUGCAGCAUUGCUUCAAUGAUCUUAGGGGCAUUGGCCGCCAUGGCCCAAAUGAAAGUAAAAAGACUUCUAGCUCAUAGUUCAAUUGGACACGUAGGUUAUAUUCAUAUUGUUUUCUCAUGUGGAGCCAUAGUAGGCGAUCCUCUUGAGCUUUUGGUUAUUUCUUAGAAUGAAGUAGCUUUUCGUCGCCCUACCAAACGGAAGAAGUCACUAUCAAACAGCUCGCCCUCGCCCUACUGAAGCCCCCAAUAACUAAGAACGAAAUUGGUCUGCACCCAACAGGCCUUAGUUGAUGAAUAUUGCCUUUGCGAUUUAUGUAAUUUAAUCAACUAAUAAUUUUUUUAAAAAAAGAAAUAUAAUUUUUUUUUUGUCAUAGUGCCCUAUUAAUAAAUAUACCCCACGGAAAAGAUUGAAAAUAAUGUUAUUUUGUAAAUUAUCCCAAUCUAAUACUAAAACUUAUCCAUAUAUGGCUAGUAAUAUUUAGAUUGUUUAUUUUGUUUCAAUACAUCCUCCUCUAUUUAAAUCGUGGAUAUAAAAUUUUUCAUAUGAUUGAUUAUUUAGUUGAUACAUAUGAAAAAUUAUUAUCAAGGAUCAAUACAAAAUAUCUUAAAAAUUAAAAAAAAAAAUAUAUCAUAUUCAACACAGUAAUCAAAUACUUAAUGCACUGCCAACACACAACUCAAUUCUUUUGAAUUUUAUGACAUGAGUAAACCUCACUUUAUCAAGUCAUGUCUGGAAAAAGCAAAAUUGAAAAGUGGUUUUGGUUAGGGAUAACAAAUGGGCCGGGCCGGGCUUGAGCUGCCAUCAGCACAGAAUAGGAUUGCCCUUUCCGGUAAAUGUAUUUCUGAAAUGUAUUUUAAAAGUUGUAAAUCCUUAAUUGUAGCUAGAAUCUCAAUCAAAUUAAACAAAUAAUAAAGAAUUCACUAAGAAAAGAAAUAGAUACAACACAGCGUUUAAUAUUGAUCCAAAAUAAUAUCGAAUCACUAAAACAAACUUUCUUAUUUUUUCUUUUUUCACAUUUUGGAUCUAUAACUUUACAAUACUGACAUUUAAGCCCAACAUUUUGUCAGAUAAUUAAGCUCUAUUGCAUGUACAACUGCUGGCCGUGCGUUCUGGUCAUGAUACUUUGUCAGGAGCUUUUGCUAUCGUAGUUUCACAUCGAUGGUAUCAUUGAUGAGCUCUGGCUCCCAUAUUUUCACAUCAUCAUCGAUGAAAAUCUCACCGUUGAUAAUCGCGAUCACCAUUGACAUGCAGGGUCGGAGGCUGGAUUUUUCUUGUACACAUAGUAGGCCAACCUUCAGGAACCGAAUGGCUUCAUUUUCUGAGAAGUUACCGUACAAUAAAGGAUCCACUAAAUGCUGAAGCUCGUUUGUAUUGUACAUUUCCCAAACCUGCUUGGAUGCAUAGAUAUUUCCUAUUUCAAUUUGCUUUGUUAUCAUAUAUGUAUGUAUAUAUACACAUGGAUAUAUUAUGUAAUAAACCUUUUGAACGAAAGCUUUCGAGAGUGAAUGUGUGCUCUUUACAAAAUUCACAUUGAAGCAAUGCAUUGCUAAAAAAAUUUGUAAAGUGACGACGUUCGUAGAAGAGAGUAACUUGAUGAAGUACCUUUACGGUAUCAAAUAAUCAAAUAUGGUUCUCUCUGUCUUUUUUUUUUUUUUUUUUCUUCCUUCUUAGAAAUAAAAAAUCUUGUACAAAAUAUAUUACCUUCUCCACUAGAUAGUACUCUCCAAGCUCUGGGUGGAAUUGAACUGCUCUUUCUCCAGUGACUAUUUGAAGAAGCAGUACUCCAAAACUAUAAACAUCUGAUUUUGGAUUUAAAUGUCCACUAGCUGCAUAAUCUGGAGCGAGGUAACCUCUAAUUUAGAACACAAAAGGUAAAUAUAUGUUAAAAAAAUAACAUACAGUUUCAAUAAUCUUAUACCUUUAAUUUAAAAAAACAAUGUAUUAUAAUAUAUAUACUUACAGUGUGCCUGCUACUUGUGUACUAACAUGAGUGGCAUUCUCAUGAAAGAGCUUGGAGAGGUCAAAAUCUGAGAUUUUAGCAUUGAGAUUUUUGUCCAAAAGAAUAUUGCUAGGUUUAAUAUCUCGAUGCACAAUAUGUGGUUUGAUUCCUACAUGAAUAUAAGCAAGUCCCCGAGCAACUCCCAGUGCAAUUUCUCGCCUCGCUGUCCAACUAAACUUAGCUCUAUUUUUCUCCUCACCUAGCAUCAAUUCAAGAAACAAAAUUUAUAAUCAUAUAACAUUACAAGCACCAUUGCAUAAAGAAAUUAUAAAAAUGACAUUCUCAAAAGCGCCGUAAUAUCGAAGAUGGAAAGAUAGAAAUGCAUACCAAGAAAUGUUUGAGAUAGACUGUUCUUUUGCAUGUAAUCAUAAACAAGAAUUCUGGAAGGCCCGUCAAUGCAACCACCGUGAAGCUUAACGAGAUUCUCGUGACAAACAUUCGCCCUGGAAGCGACUUCGGACAAGAAUUCUUUCUCCCCUUGCUUGGAUUCCAUUGAAAGCACUUUCACAGCUACAAGAGUUCCAUCUUUAAGCCUUCCCUUUAAAAUCCAAUUGAGUAAUGAUGAAAUCAAAGUCUAUGCAUAUAUUCUGAAGCUUCAUAUAUAGGUCAAUUCAUGUAAAAUUAGAGAAUGAAUAUACCUUAUACACGGAGCCAAAUCCUCCUUCGCCAAUUUUAUUGGAUAUACAGAAGCCGUUGGUGGCAAUUUCCAGUUCCUUGUAGGAGAACGCAUUAAUAUUUUUCAGGAUCUGUACACCUGAUUUAAUGAAAAAGUUAGCUAUAUGCUUAAGCAGCGGAAUUACACUCUAAUUAAUUUUGAGAAAUGCUAAAUGUAGAGAACGGCGAGAGAAUGCCAAGAGAAACGGCAGCUUGUGCCACCGUUUCGAGUGCUCUCUCACCAUUCUCCACACGACCCACACUUUUCUUUUCUCUUUUCACUUUGGCCCCCAUGUGAACUCCACUCCACUUUUCCUUUUGGGUGCGUUUGGUACACGUAUUGUAUUAUGUUGUAUUGCAUUAUUUUAAUGCUGGUGUAUUGUAUUAUGCUGUAUUGCAUUAGCACUGUAUUAUAAUAAUACUGUACAAUGUUUGGUGCUACACAGUACUGUAUUAAUUUUUAGUUAUGUUAUGUUUGGUGUUGCACUGUACUGUAUUAAUUUCUUUUGGUGAUUAAUUUUAAUUAUAUAUUUAGAAAAUAAUAUUUACUAGUACUUAGAAAAAUACUAAAUAUAGAAGUGUUAAAUUUAAAAAUUUUUACAUCAAUUUUUUUUGUUUAAAUAAAAUAAUCAUAAUUCUUUUAUUUAAACUAACAAAUUCUAAGAUUUACAAUUAUAUAAGAUUUAUUUUUUCAAUAAUUCGUAAAUAUAUAACCUAUGAAAUAAAGAUUGAAACAAAUAAUCCAAUCAAAUAGCAUUUAAAAACUAUCACAGCAUAAAUAAAACAAACUAUCACAAGAUUCAUUCAAAGUUAAUACAUACUUCAAAAACAUCACAAAUUAAUAAGUAACACAAUAGUUGUUUGUGUCCGAUAAUUUAAGUACACACAUCUACAAGCCAAACUACUAGUUGGUUAUGUCAUUGUUUAGUUAGAAAUCCAUACUCUCUAAUCAAAUUCCACCUCUCCUCUCAUGCUCACGCAAAAGCAUCCUAACAUAAGCGAACUUACGAUCACGAUCAUUUCGUAAUACUUUGAAAGCCCUUAUAUGUGAAGGCUUCUCAACCAUCAAAUUUAAUGCAAUAAGCUCGUCAUCCAUAGAAAGUCCUAUCGAAGCAAGCUCUCUACCAAUGUAAUCAUGAUCUUCACUACUUCCAAACAUAUUCUGAGACAUGUCAGCGUUGGCUUGGUGAAAUGCUGAAACCAAUUUGUCAAUACCACCAGCAAUUUGUUCAUCUAAUUUAGACCUCCUCAUGUUUGAUGAUUGUGAACGUGAUCGAGUAGUGUAUUGAGAAUUUGAAGGCAGUGUAGUCGACAUUGGAGAACCUUCAUCAUCAAUCUCAUUAUCAUCAUCAUGAAUUUCUUCUUGAAGUGCUGCAUUAGCCAUAUCAUUUGGGGUUUCUGCUGAACUUCCAGUUGCACGGUCUUUUCCAAAUAUGUUUGCUAGCCUCUCAUAAUAUGGAAAUGACUUAUCUCUUCAGUUGCUUGCAUCUUUAUGGGACUACAAUAAUAAAAUAAGAUAAUUAAAUAAACUCUAUUAUAUUCAUAACAAACAAAUUAAGGACAAUGUUUAUAAAUGAUGACAUAAAAAAAAUAAUUUUCUUUACUAACCUCGACAUAUGAUCUACAUACUUCGUCACUGUUAACCACCACACAUUUUCUUACUUCAUUCCAGCCAAAACCGCUAGUGUUCAACAUAUCAAAUAUCACUCCAUAACUUUUUUUCCAUAUUCUUAUCUUAGAGUCAAUAUGUGGAUACGCCUUCAAGCCGCUCCCUGGUAAUAGUUUUUCUAAUUCAUUUUCAAUAUAUUUGUAACUUCUAGAUUUAAAGGUGCCGUUAUCAGCUCGACCACCAUUUGCAACUACAGCAUCUAAAAUGUUCAACAUUGCCUCUUCUUCGUCUUUUGUCCAUGCUCGUCUUGAUCCUGUCUUAUUUCCAGUAGUAUGGCUUGGUCCUCCACUCUCCAUUCCUACAAAAUGAAUAUUAUAACAAUUUUUGAACAAGUAACUAAAAUAUAACACCAAGUCAGUUCACAUCAAUAAACCUCGAUAAAUUUCCAAUGACAUCAAAUAUAAAUACAAGGUUACAACCUUAGAAAUUUUCCUAAUGACAUCUAUAUACUAACAAAAGUACAGCCUCCGAUGCUUUCCUAAUCACAUCUAUAUACUAACAAAAGAUGCUUUCCUAACGAUAUCUGUAUACUAACAAAAGUACAGCCUCAGAUAUUUUCCUAAUCACAUGUAUAUACUAACAAAAGUACAUGCUCGGAUACUUUCCUAAUGACAUCUAUAUACUAACAAAAGUACAUGCCCAAAUGAUUUCUUAUUGACAUCUAUAAAUUAGAUAAGUCCUAAUUUCCAAGCCAAUUAUUAUACAUAGUAGUAGCUAGAUCAUUCCUCCAGCUCGUCCACUGGUCUGAAGCUUCAAUGCUACUUAUACUAUCAUUAUCUUCUACUUCAUUAUUAGGUAAGUCAAUUAAUUCAUGCUCCAUUAGAUCCACAGACAUUUCUCUCCUAAUCAGAUUAUGCAAUAAACAACAUGCAGUAAUAAUGCGACAUUGGGUUUUAAUUGGAUAAAAUGAAGGACUUCAAAGAAUAGCCCAUCGCAUUUUGAGCAAUCCAAAACACCGUUCAAUUACUUUUCUUGCUGAUGAAUGUUUCAUAUUAAAGAAUUCUUCUUUAUUGCGAGGAGCACACCCAUCUCUCCAUUCCGAUAAAUGAUAUCUCGUUCCCCUAUAUGGUGCAAGGAAUCCUUCAGCAUUUGUAUAUCCGGCAUCCACAAGAUAAUAAUAACCUAUUUAUUUCACAUAAGCAUUAAUAUAAUUUUGAUUUUGAAUAUGUAAUUUGAUUAAAUUAAUUUUUUGGAUUGAGUAAUACCUGUAGGAACUUUUAAACCAGUUGGUUUAUUUAAUGCAUCGCGAAGUACCCUUGAGUCAGUGGCAGAGCCUUCCCAUUCGGGCAUCACGAAGAUGAAUUUCAUAUCUCGUGAACAUACCCCUAAAACAUUUGUAGCAAUCUCACCAUUUCUUGUUCGAUAUCUUGGUUUAUCAUUUUCUGGCACACGGAAUCUAAUAUAAGUUCCAUCCAAUGCUCCCAAGCAAUUCCACAUGCACAAAACAAAUGAAAUUUAAUUAGCACUAAAUUAUCAAUCGCUAUAAUAAAAUAUAAGUAAUUGAAAAUGUACCUUAAACCACUUCCACCUCUCAUCAGUGCAAUUCUCUGGUACAGGAUCUGGCACCCUUAGUAAAACAUCGUGUAGCCGUAUUACUCUGUUUAACAUUGAAUUGAUGUAUCUACUAACAGUCUCACCAGAUCUAAAAAACGUACUGCCAAUUGUGCGAUUCUUAACAUGAUGAGACAAAGUGUGUAGGAACAUGCAAACUUGCUCUUCAACAGCCAAUGAACCAGUAGCCUUUAGUCCCAUCGAUCGAAGUAGCUCACAUAGUAGGCCAAAUGUCCUUCUAUCCAUUUUUAGUUGAUUUACACAUUGAAUGUCACUAUUGCCUAUAAUGCUAUCUAAGUAUUGUAGUCGAGUAGCAUGGAAUUGGAAUGUACGACUACGAAUCAUUUUUCUUUCGUUAUGCCUUCGGAUCAACAUCAUUAACAAAAAAUACAUCACAAUGAACAUGAACCUCAAUUUCAUUUGCCACAUGAUGAAAGAAAAUUUUCUUCCCAUGUCCAUAUCUAACACAACCAUUAAAAUGAGGGAAAAAAAAUCAGCUAGUAGACCAUUUGAUAAAUUUCCAUAAAGUUAGAUUAGAUUUCCAUAUAAAGGCUAUGUUUCAACACUUGAGCUAAAUAGAAUCACAAAGAAGAGAAUAGAGGCAAAUGAUGAUGAUAAAUAAUAAUAAUAAAAAUCAUGCCUACCACACGAUAUAAUAGAGGGUACAGGAAAUAUAUUGAAAUCCAAGGAAUUAUAUAUCAUAAGUCAUUUCUUGUUGAACAAAUAAUAAAUGGUAAGAAAUUGAACUCACUGGAAGCAAGCAGCAGCCGUUGGAAGGAAAUUCUAGUUUACGUAUUUGUUUUGCAACCUAAAUAAAAAUAACCUAUUGAAAUGAAUGAAAAAGAAGUCAAUUUUAAUGAAUAAUUAAAUCUGAAAAAAAAUUCAUAUAAAGUAUGCAACAUUUGCUAGCUACAAUAGCUAUAAAUAUGUGUGUGUAUUUAGCAACUAGCAAGUCUUUAUAAAAUUCAUGUGAGUACUUAAACUCAAACUCUUUUACUCAUACACUAAUUUUUUUCCUUUUAAUUUAUGAAUGGUCAACAAAACUUGAGAAACUUUUUUAUCCCCACACAACAUGAAUCUGUCCAGGAAAAUAUUAUCCAUUGCACCAAUAAUACUCUACAGGUGGUCAUAUAUUAUAUAAAAGAAGAUAUUGUUCAACAAUAAUGAUAUUUUGAAUUUUUUGUUUGGUCUUUAAUCAUUUGUUCAUAAAGUUACUGUCUUUUUGAAAUUUAUCUUUUGACCAAAAAGUGCAGCACAGUUAGUUAGUAAUGCAAAUUCUUGCAAACAUAAAUAAUAAUAAUAAUAAUAAUAAUAAUAAUAAUAAUAAUAAUAAUAAUAGUUAAUUAUCCAGUGUUGCUAACACUAUUAUAAAAGCUUUAGCUUCCCUGUAUGCUUUACGCCUCCAAUCAUCAUGAUAAAAGAUGAACUACCAGUUCCUUAUAAUGCUUAGACUCCACAUUUGGCUACCUAUUACUAGUUGUUAAUUAUGGGAAAAAAUUGUAGAAGAAGAAAGAGAAAAUAAAUAAAAGUGGGAAGUUAUAUUAAUAACUAAAAAGAAGGUUACGGUCGAGGCUGAACUGCCAAUUGCGACAAACAGAAACAUAACCUCACAAUAUGUAAUUUCAGUCAUCCAGUUUGUUGCCAAGCGCUAAAACAGGGCUGUAAUUUCAGUUACUCUUGUUGAAUUUUGCAACUUCCUUUCUAAUGUAACCCCUGUAAUUGAUUAUGUCUUACCUCAUUAUUAACAUGUUCUCCCAAACAAAAAAACAAAAUCCAUUUUCAUAGACAGCUAAAUAGGUUACAAGCUUUAAUAAGCUUCUAAUUGCAGAGGGUUGACUGAUUUAUGACUCGAUAUUAUAAUUCGAUUUUAAUCACUAAUUUAUUGUAUUAUUGUAUUAAUUGUCGUAUGAAUAAAUUGUGUAACAAUGAUGAUAUUGCUCAAAUUUCCAAUCAUACACUAUGAACCAGACUACUUUUUCAUAUGAACCUAACAAAAAAAUUGACAGGAAAAGCAUGAUUUGAACAAAUGGAUGACCAACUUUCUAAAAAGAAAGAAAAGGAAAAGAAUAAUAAAAACUAAAAGCAAACGGAUGAUCAGGACCACAACGUUUCCAUUUUACUGCAACAUUUCACACACACAUAUAUAAAGUAUAUGCAGAGAUGUUAUUCCUCUGUUCUCAUAUAAUCCAAACAGGGGCAAUUUUCUGCACUUGGCUAAAACCCACCGCGAGCAAUUAGCCCCUUAUUUUUCAUAAAAAUCAAUUGCUACGAAUGUUUGAUUAUAAUGGAAAAACAUGAUUAAAUUGAAAGCAAAUAAAAUAAAACCCUAAUCUAGAAAUUAAACCUAAAUUAAAAAAUUAAACCCAAAUGAAAUAUCAAACAUUAGGUGGUGAAGGACAGGGAAAACAAUUGUACUGCACAGUAGAGAUGGUGUUGCAGCGGAGGUGGUGUCACGCAGUGGGGUGCAGUGGAGGUGGUAUCACGCAGUGGGUGGGUGUCGCACGAUGAGGUUACAGUGGAGUUGGUGUCGCACGGCAAAGGUUGUUGAUGUGGUGGUGGAGCAUCGUGGAGUUGGCUCUUGCUAAGCCACUGCACAGGAGAAAUCACAGAUUGAACAAGGAGAGCUAUUUUGGUUUAUUUGAGGACAAGGUGAGAACGAGAGGGAAGUCUAAUUUUUCUGGUCUCAGAAAUAGUUGCAAAACCCGCUUAAACCCGACCCCCCCCCUCGGGUUUAGUUUAUGCGGGUUUGACCGCAUAAAAUUUGGAGUUGACCACAUUGUAAUACUAUGUGAUGUAAGUACCAAACAUGGUAUAAUAAUAUUCUAAUACAAUGAGGAGCUCUUAUACCAUAACCAAACAUGCCCUUUGCUCUCUCCCCCACGUGAACUGAUUUGCUCAUUGCUCAAGCAAAAAUAGUUCAUCACAUGAGAAAGGAAACGGCAUCAGCAGGAGUGGUAAGUUUAUGUAUUUUUAUGUUAAAUUUUUCUUUUAUUUUGAAUAUACAAAACUAAACGUAUUAUUAAAUAUUUAUCAAUCAUAUAUAUAUAUAUAUAUUAUUUGUGUAGGUACUUAUAUACCCAACUUAAGGUAGUGUGCACAAUAUUUAUCAGUCAUUUCCUUAUAAUUGGCACCAAAUAAGCUUUCACCAGAAAAUCACAAUUUGUUAGUGUAUGCUUAUAUUUUUUAAUUUCUAAAAUCUCAUAUUAUAUUUUAAUUUUUUGUGUAUUACAAUAACCACUCCGUAUGCUUUGCAACCGCAUUAUCCUUCUUAUUUGAUGACGUACGAAGGAUCUGGAAGUAAAAAUUUCCAAUAUUUGCUACAUCAACAACGUAAUGAAGACAACAAUUGAAAGUUUAUGCAUACUUUACAUUUCUAAAUUUUGCGAUUUGAGAUUUGAAUUCUUUAUAGCACUUGAUGUUAAUAGCUCCAUUUGGCCACCAUAUUCAUUAUAUAUUUACAGUGAAUUUCGACUUUUAUUUGUGCUAGAUGACAUUGUCAAUAUUACACUACUUUAACUGCCGCAAAAAACAACAAAUUAUUACCAACAAAAUUUUUUUCAAACUUAAUCCGAAAAAUUUCACCAAUCGACAAUUUUUACCAAAUAAUUACUUACAAAAUUACCAACAAUUAUCAAAAAAUAAUUACCAACAAUACAAUUACCAAAAUAAUUCCCAACAAAAUAAUCAUUCAACAAAAUAAUUACUUACAAAAUUACCAACAAUUAUCCAAAAAUAAUUAUCAAAAAGUAAUUAUCAAAAUAAUUAUCAAAAUAAUUAUCAAAAAAUAAUUAUCAACAAUACAAUUACCAAAAUAAUUCCCAACAAAAUAAUUACCAAACAAGAUUACCAACAAUUAUCAUAAAUUAAUUAUUAAAAUAAUUAUCAAAAAAUAAUUAUCAACAAUACAAUUACCAAAAUAAUUCCCAACAAAAUAAUCACUGAACAAAAUAAUUGCCAAAUAAAAUUACCAACAAUUAUAAAAAAAUAAUUACAAACCAAACGGAGAGAGUGAGAUGGAGAGAGACGAGGGAGACGAGGACCAGCAAGCAGCACCACCGAGCAGCGACCACCGACCGCCGAGAGCAGCAACCACCGAGUAGAUCUAGAGUAGUAGCGAGCGAGAGGGGAGAUGGAGACGAAGCUGCAGCUGGAGCGAGAGGGAAGACGAAGACGAAGCUGGGGAGACGGAGACGAAGCUGCUGCUGGAGUGAGAGGAAAAACGAAGCGAGAGGGGAGACGGAGACCUAGUAAAGCUGCUGCUGGAGUGAGAGGAAAAACGAAGCGAGAGGGGGAGAGGAGUGAGAGGAAACUCGGCCUCGAGUUGAGCUGAAGUAAUGGCUUGUGAUGAACUACUCCUGCUGAUGUCGUUUUCUUUCUCUUGUGAUGAACUACUUCUACUUGAGCAAUGAACAAAACAGUUCACGUGGGGGAAAAGAAUGAGCAAAAGGGAAAGUGGAGUUCACGUGGGGAGAGAGCAAAAGGAGAAGUGGAGUGGAGUUUAUGUGGGGGCCAAAGUGAAAAGAGAAAAGAAAAGUGUGGGUCAUGUGGGGAAUGGCGAGAGAGCACUCGAAACGACAGCACAAGCUACCGUUUCUCUCGGCAUUCUCUUGCCGUUCUCUACGUUUAGCAUUUCUCAUUAAUUUUUGUCUGAGGAGCUUCGCUAACUAAUUUUUAAACAGCAUUUUUUACAAGUCACAUGAGUUCGAAUCUGAAAACAUAAAAUUAAAAAAUUAAUGUGGGCUUUAUCCAUCCCUACCGUUAAAAAAAAAAUAAAAACAGGAAAAAACAAUAAAUUAUUAUGCAUAUGCUUGCAAUAUGAAUAAAUACCCCCAAGCUUGCGCCUCCCUAUGCGGAAUGAGAAUCAAAUGUUAUUUCCUAGUAUUAGAUAGGAAGAAUUCUCAUGUACAGGUUAAUGCAAAUACAUUGUGCAACUUGUUGUAAGAGAGUUAGCAAAUUUUUAUUUUCAACGAUAGUAAACAAUAUAUAUAUAUAUAUAUAUGGGAGUUGUAAUCAAAUGAAAAAAUUAAUAAGCAGAAGGACUUUUUUAACUCGUUAUGAGUGAACCAAAAAAUGUUGUACGCGAGAUGAUGAUAGGAUGUAGAUGAAGAAAAAACCAAUGACAGAAAAAUCUUUUCAUCAAUUACUGUACCUUUUUUUUUUUGCAAAUAAAUUAAUUUAUAUAUACAUAAUUAGCUCCUACAGUGUUCUCUGUAGAGAGUUUUGAUGGAGAAGAGAAGCACCUCGACAUAUAAAAAAAGAACAUUUACAUCAAAACAGCCAGGACGAGACUGGUUAUUGACUUCUGAAUUAAAUUCGUUGCAAGGAUAUUUGCAAAGGAGUGAGAAAAAGGAUACUACUUGGCAACAAAAUGUGCCAGCUAAGAAUUAUUAGCUCAAAAAGAUAUAUAUAAUCAUCAUUUAAGAAUUAUUUUAUUCCCAAUUGGGUCGCUAAAACUAAAUUAUUCAAGGAGUGGUGUGUGUAUAUAUAUAUAUAUAUAUGACUGUUUCUUAAUCCAUGUAUGAAAAUUUCAACGGCUCAGAUCUUGAUUGAUAUGUUCGCAUGUUUUUUAGCACCAUUGGAUUGUGCAUUCCAUGGACAGAACGACUAAAGGGGGAAGGGUGGCGGCUUGUACUAAUUAUUGUAUUUCUGCACGUUAUUUUUAUUUAUUUAUUUUUUGCCUUUCUUACAUCGAAGUUAGAUCCAGAAAUAAGCAGAAAUAGUAUAAAACUGCAAACGUGUGACGCAGUCUAUGGAUCAUGUCAAGGUCAAAGUGGUAAGUCCUGACUCCUGAAACUUUUGCGAGCCGUGAUACUCUAGAAUUUGUCAAUUGAAUCGUCAUAUUCGUUAAUAUCCUUAAUACUAUCUCUUUGCACAUAAUUAUCAUUUUAUUUUUCAAUAUUUUUUACUUUCAUUUUCAAAAUUCAAAUUUGUGUGCUGCUUGGGGACCGAUCAAUUUGGUAAUUAAUUAAUAAGCCAAAGAAUAUUAAAGAAAUUAAUAUCCUUGCAGUGAAAUCAAUACUACCAAAAUCAUGCACUUUUAUCUCUAUUUUAUUGUUUGCAAUUGUGAUUCCUGGCCCUUAUGGUUAAAAAUUAUCACUAGUGCCCUACUAAUAACGUUGAAAACGUGUUGAAUCUUAAUUUUACAUAUGCAAUUAACCAAUAGAAUCAUGUGAUAUAUAUGUCUUUUGUAUACAUGUCAUUAGGGGCACUGAGGAAGAAAUAUGAUUUUCAUUCGGAAGGGUACAAAAGGAAGAAGCCAUGAACUUAAGUUGGUUAUCAAAUAAAAUCAAUAAAAAUGAGGGGGCAAAUAAUAACGACUAUAAUACCACCAAAGCUAAAACUUGAAUAGAUUUUGGCAUAAAUAUUUUAACCUUAAGGCCAACUUUAAAUUUGCACAGAUCUGGUAUCUGGGUCACAUGGUUCUCCCUCUACAUGUCAUAUUGGUUGAUUAUUCGUACUUCCAGUGUACGUAAGUUUUUUGCAGUUAACAAAUAAUACCAUAUUAAUCCUUGUAAUAAACUUAACAAUUAUAUUUGUUUGAGAUGCGCCUUUAAAAAUAUGUUAUAUAAUUGCUAACAACCAUUUACUUAGAUUGGUCGACAUCUCCUCCUUAGUUCUAAAGUAGAGAGUUCGAAUCUCUUAUAUAUAUACAGUAGAACCUCUGUAGAUUAAUAGGGUUGGAAACAUAUCAAAUCUACUAAUUAAAAGAGAAAUUAAAUAAUCGAUUAAUAAACAAUUUAUUAGUUUACAUAGUUAUAAGAUUCUUUUUUUAUAAAAAGUAUUUUCUCAUUAUUUUAUCAAAAUUAUUAGUUUAUCAAAAUUAUUAGUUUAGUCCAUUGGCCUACUGAUGACCGUGAAAAUUUAUUAUAUAAUCGAGAUUAUUAAUUUAUCGAGUAUUAAUUUAUAAAGAUUUUACUUUCUCUCUCUGUGUGUAGAGAGAGAGAGAGUCCUUUUUUUAUGUGGGUGCCCUCAUUUUUUUUUUUAUGCGAACACAUUAAUAAGUCAUAUGAUUUAAUGAAGUCAAUGUAGAUAUGCUAUUAAACCAUAUGAUUUUAUAUUAAACCAUAUAUGUAUAAGAAGAAAAUUACGGUGUACACACACACACACGCACGCGCACACACACACGCGCACGCAUGCACACACACGCGCGCACGCGCACACACACACAAACACGCGCGUGCGCGCGCGUACGCACACACUUAUAUUGAAUGAAACACUGAAUAUAUGGCUUAUGGCUUACUAGCAUAUCCGUAUAAGAAGAAAAUUAGGGUGUCCACACACACACACACAAAAGGAAAAAACAGUUCUAUCAAACCCUCACAAUUUUAAAUUCAAAAUUGCUUGAAUUAUAAAUUGAACCUCAUCAUAACUUUACAAAUAAUAUUUUGUCCCUCAAAUUUGAAGAUUUUGUAGUGUGUAUUUUUUUUUUUUAAAUUUGAAUAAAUUUGAAUUUGGCUGAAAUUUGAAUAGGUCCAAACACAAAUGGAUAACACGCUUUUCUUUUUUCAAUAUCUAAAUAUAAAUGAUAUCUUUUUUUUUUAUAAAUGAAAAAUAUAUUAAAUAUAGUUAUUUGACAUAUGUAUCUUUUUAAUCCAUAAAAAAAGAUUAGGUUUAUAUUUUAGAAAAAUAAAUAUAUUUAAUAGAGAUAUUGUUGAAUAUAAUAUUUACUUCUUGUUAGGGGUGGCAAAAAUACCCGCCCGGUCCGAACCCGGGCUGCACCCGGGUGUCGUGGGCUAGGUAUUACCCGACCUAGGUAUGAAGUCGGGUCGGUCUUGGGCAUUACUUGAUAAAUCCAGAGUCCGACCCGGAACCCGGAUUUUAUUAUAUAUAUAUAUAUAUAUAUAUAUAUAUAUAUAUAUAUAUAUAUAUAUAUAUAUAUAUAUAUAUAUAUAUAUAUAAUAUUAUUUUAAAUAUUUAUAUUUAUUUGACUCAUUUAUUAUAUAUAUAAAGUUUUAAACACUUCAAGUUUAUAUUUUCAUGUCAAAUUUUAUUGAAAUAAAUUUAAAACUUAUAAAAUUACCAAAAAAUAAAAAAAUUAUACACAUAUAAUAUUAACACAUAUAAAAUCCAGGUACCCAGAUUAAAACCCGACCCGGGCAUCUAAAAAUUGCAUCUGGGCCGGGUUCGGGCAUUGCAAUACCCGAACCCAAUCCGGGGUUUUGCCAACCCUACUUCUUAUUCAAAUAAAAAUCACAAAACUUCUCUUUUUUUAUUCAAAUGUAAAUGUCUGUAAAUCAUAUAUAAGUUAAAAAUAAAUAAAUAAAUUUUAAAAAAUUUGACUUCAGACGUUUGGGUGCCGCAGCAUUCUACCAUGCUUCGUAGGAUCGUUGCUAAUAGCGUAGUUUCACAUCCAUGAUAUCAUUGAUAAGGCCCGGCUCCCAUAUUUCCACGUCAUCGUCGAUGUCGACGUCACCGUUGAUCAUCUCGAUCACCGUCGACAUGCGAGGUCGGAGGCUAGAUUUUUCUUGUACACAGAGUAGGCCAACCUUCAGGAAUCGAACGGCUUCAUUUCCUGAGAAGUUACCGCAUAGCAUUGGAUCCACUAAAUGUUGAAGCUUGUCUGUGUUGUGCAUUUCCCAAGCCUGCUUGAUUGCACGAAAUAUUUAAAUCUCCAAUUUUCUCUGUUGUCUUAUACACUUUAUUUGCUGAAAAUUUUUAGAUGCAAUUUACAAAAUUGAUAUCGGAGCAACGCAUUAAUAGUUUUCAUUAUUUUUUUACUACUAAACACCGGUGUAUUGAUGCUCCAAUUCACAUUUUGUAAAGUAUGGAUGUCCCCACACUUUAUGAUAUCAAAUAUGGUACCAUUUUUGGAAAGAAAGAAUCAUCUGCAAAACGGAUUAUGAAUAGAUACACACACAUAUAUAUAUAUAUAUAUAUAAACACAUAUUACCUUCUCCACUAGAUAAUGCUCUCCAAGCUCUUUGUCAAAAUGAACUGCUGCUUGCCCGGUGACUAUUUGAAGAAGUAGCACUCCAAAACUAUAGAUAUCUGAUUUUGGAUUUAAAUGACCACUAACAGCAUAGUCUGGAGCGAGAUAGCCUCUAAUUUAAUUUGUACAAAAUUAAGUGAGCAUAAAUAAUUUCAACAACCUUAUACAAUAAACAGAGAAGAUUAAUUUGUGAAUUUGAAUUUAAUGUUAAGCUAUCAGCAUUGUGUUGAGUUUUUACAACAUUGUGAUUGAUAAUUAUUAGAUAAAAAAUGAUUUUCAAAAAUCAAAUAUUAAUUGUUCACUACUGUAAAUGCACACGUGACUAAUGAUUAUAAAAAGAUUCAGCAGAGACCAGCUCAAUAUUGAAUCUAAAUUUAUAAUAUGUAUGUUGUUGCACUUACAAUGUGCCAGCGACCCGUGUGCUAAUAUGAGUAAUGUCCUCUGGGAAUAACUUGGAGAGGCCAAAAUCUGAGAUUUUAGGAUUAAAAUUUUGAUCCAAAAGAAUAUUACUAGGUUUAAUAUCUCGAUGCACAAUACUUGGCUUAAUUUCCUCAUGAAUAUAAGCAAGCCCCCGAGCAAUUCCUAGUGCAAUUUCCCGCCUUGCUGUCCAGCUAAAUUUAGCUCUAUUUUUCUCCUCACCUGCCAUUAAUUCAAGAUUAAUUAAAAAAAAUAUUAAUUAAUUCAAGAAACCACGUUGCAUUAAUUAAGAAAACAGAACAUUACGGACAUGUAUAUACACUACUAUAUUGAAUGGGUCAACAUCGAGUGUGUUUUAUGUUACUGAUUUAACGUCAAGAUGCCAUAGGAUUAAUACAGGAUAUUAAAAACUUAUCAGGAUUAAAAUGGGUAAAAUAAUUUUUAACAGGGGCCAAAAUAUCAUUCCUUACAAGAAAAAAGUGCUUUUAUACUAAUCAAAUUACAAAAUAACAUUUUCAAACAAAUCCGUAAUAUCAAAGAUGGGGAGACAUAUAUACAAAUACCAAGCAAUGUUUGAGAGAGACUGUUGUUUUGCAUGUAAUCAUAGACAAUGAUUCUGCAAGGCCCUUCAAUGCAACCACCAUGAAGCUUUACAAGAUUUUCGUGACAAAUAUUUGCCAUUGAAGCUACUUCUGACAUGAAUUCUUUCUCUCCUUGAUUGGAUUCCACUGAAAGCACUUUCACGGCUACAACAGUUCCAUCUUGAAGCUUUCCCUUUAAGGUCCAACCAAGAAAUAAAUUAAUUUUUAUGCACAUAUGUUAAAAUUAAUUCGAUUAAUAAAAAAAAAUUACAGAAAAUAUACCUUAUAAACGGAGCCAAAUCCACCUUCGCCGACUUUAUUGGAUGAACAGAAGCCAUUAGUGGCACUUUUCAGUUCAUAGUAGGAGAAUGCAUUAAUAUUUUUCAAAAUUUUUGCACCUGAUUUCGUGAAAAAGUUAGCUACAUGAAGCGUACUUAAGACGAAUAAUUAACUUAUAUGUUAGGAACAAUGAUGUGAUCAUACUGACCAAUUACCACUGAUCACAUUGCUUGAUAAGUUGACAAUAACAACAUGUAAAGUCAAUUUAUAAGAGACAUUUAAGGAAAAAUUAAAAGGGUAAGUGCUCCUUUAGACUUUAAAGUUCGAGCUAAUUUCAUAUAUAGUUAGUUCUUAAAUUUAUAAAAAUUAAUUAAAACACCUUGUUGUAUAUUGUUCUCAUUAAAAUUUAUUUAUUUUUAUUUAAUUAUUCUCUACUUUUACUUAUAACAUAUCAGUUCAAUUUCACUAUUAAUUUAUAUUGGAUGGAAAUGAAGUUCAAUUUAUUUGACUAAUUUUUGAAAAUACAAAAACCAACAACCUAAUUGACCAAAUCCUAAGAUUGAAGAGGCAUUUAUCCUAACAAAAUUGACGAUAAGUAAUUUUAAAUAUAUUGACUACGCAAACUCUGAAAAAAAGUUGGUCAAAAUGAUAACAAAAUACAGAAGUUCACAUGAGAGAAAGACUCUUAACUCUAUGAAUGAACCAUAUGUAUGUAUGUAUGUAUGAGAUGAUCACAUGAGGAUGAAUACUAGAAAAAUGUUUUAGAUAUGUGCUUUUUGGAAAUACAAUAAUUUGUAUUUGUAUAUUACCUCCUACAGUGUCCUCUGCAGAGAAAUUUGAUGGCCAAGCAAAGCACCUUGACAAAGGAAAAAAGAACUUCAUCUCAUCAAAUUAUCUAUGUAAUUUACUUCUGAUCAAUGCAUGAAUACUAACGAAAGAAAAGAAAGAGAUUUCACAUUGAAAUGUAUGUGCCAGUGACUUUUAGCUGAAAACGUUUAUAAUGUAUAUAUAGCAAUCAUUAAAGAAUUUUUUUAUUGCCACUUGGGUAAUCAAUGAAGUAAUCAAUUAGCAAAUCUUUAAAUUAAACCGUGAUUCAAGUAAGGAGCGUUGGUACGUGUACGACUCUUUAAUUAUCCAUUAAAUUUUUGAUGGCCCAGAACUUUAAUUGAUAUUUUCGCAUGUUUUCAGCACCGUUGGAUUGCACAUUCCAUUGACUUGGUGGAGAGAGGACGAACCGGAGAAGGGCGGCGGUUAGUAUUAAUUAUUGUUUGUGCAUCAUGUAUGAUUGCUUUUGUUUAAUAUUUUUGACUCUUUGAUAAGCAAAAUUAUCAUAUUUAAAUUACUGAGUGUUUUGCAGUCUAUGGACUUCAGAAUCAUUAUAAUUACAAUCUAGGUCAAUGUGAGUUGUGAAAUUUUGAGGAUUUAGCCAGCCAUGAUGAUCUAGACGAUUUGUUGAAUUGGUAUUAGAACAAGAAGGAUGCCGCGAAAUUGUUAAUCGAGAUGAAUAAGCAAAAUUUAUAACCUUAUUAAUUAAAUUGAAGUCAAUACCGUAUCAUGCUCUUUUAUCCCUCAUUUCAUUGUUUGCCACUUGCCACAUGCUACCCUUACAGUCUAUUUAAUAUAUAUGGUUUUAAAAAAGAAAAAAGAGAGAGAGAUAGGAUUAUAACUUAUACUCAAAAAUUAGUUUAAGAGUUGAGAAUCACUUCAAGUCCGUAUUAUAUUAUCAGCUAAUGUGAUAUAUUUUCAUCCGCAAAGGUGCUAAUCAGAACUGAACAUUGCUUGUUAAACCCAAUGAUUUUGUUAUAGAACGUUAAGAAGAAGUGACGGAAACUGGGUUUGAAACUGUAGUCGGUUUUUUUUUUUACUUUAAAAAUUUGGAAGUUUUUUGUACUGCAUGAUCAAUUGGAUAAUAAAUUAAUAAGCCAAAGAGUAUGGCAGCGGCUCUUAAAAUAACUUAAAAGUAAUUAUUCAAUACAACAUAAUGGUAACAUGCAAAAUAAGUGAGAGAUUAUAGAUAAUUAUAUUUGGAUUUGUUAGUAGUUACUUAUACUGUAACUUAGCAAGAACCAGAUGUGGUGAAGUCAAUACCAUGUAUCAUGCUCUUUGAUCUUCUAUCAAUUUCAUUGUCUACCGCAGAACAUACCUUGCAUAAUCCUUAUCUUUCUAAUAUCAUUGUUAUAGUUUCUUGCUUUCCAUAAUUCGAAUUACUUUCAUCUAAAUUCUCGGUGAAAUUGAGGAUUUACUGACUAGAUACGACAACACAUUAAUUUUCAAAUCUAACUUUAAUCAUGUCAUUCAUAAUUUUCAUUUUAAGAAACGAGAGGGUGUAUUUUAAGUUCAGUCAUAAUUUUUUGACCAAGGAAUGAAUAGUGUCUUGUAGGUAAACUGACCUCGUUUUAUACUAAAUGCAGUGUUCUUUUGUUUUUUUCCCCCCCAAAAGAACUUCGUCCAUUUGACGACUUUAAGAAAUAAAAUCAACAUUUUCAAUUACGUUGAUUUUUUUACUAGACUACGAUGAUUUAAUAACGAAUCUGACUUAAUAAUCAAUAGAGAUAAAUUAAUCUUACUGCAACCCCCUUGAAAUUGCAAGUCCACUCUCUCUCCGAAAAUAAUAUCAUCCAAAUAAGUCCUUCUAAGACCUAGAUGAAGAAUUUUGGCUAUCAAAAUUUUCACGCAUCACUAUCGGAUUCAACACAACUUUUAACAAUUCUCAUUGGGAUUUGAAACACUGAUUGGGCAGUUGGGCCUAGACAUAAUUUAAAUAACGCAAGCUUUUCAAACGCAGUAGAUCUAUUAGCACCCCUCCAUAUUCCUGAGAAAGCCUCCUUUGUUUUUAGUUAUGGUCAUGACCCUGCUACUCAAUUACAACCCUGGACGACUUUUUUUUUUUUCCUUUUAUCAUUGCUUUUUUAUUUGAUUUGGAAAUUUCUGAAAAAAAAAAAAGGAAAUUCCAUUGAAGUCGUGGAGUAUAAACAAAAUUCCAGCUUUGAAGAAGCCACCACUGUGAAAAUCGAAGGCCAAAAUUCUAACUUUAGUAGAGUAAAAGUUAAGAACGAAAAAUUUUAAUUCUAUAGAAGAAAGAGAUUUUAUGGUAAAUGCAAAGUUUACUAAUGAUGAGAUAGAGAGCAUUCCAAAUUAAAAGAACAAUGAGUUAUAAUUGCAUUCGUGUUUUUAGAAUACUAAUAAAAAAGUGAGAAUCACCAAUAGUUACUUGUGAAUUUGUAGAAUAAGUAUUUCUUUUGUAGAUAUAGUGAGAAAUACAAAUAAAGUAGGGUUGGCAAAAAAGCCCGGGCUUAGGCCCGGCCCUCACCCAUGAGGGCCUGGACAAGGGCCCAAGAAAAAAAGUCCGGACAAAGCCCAAGCCCACUACUUUUUAAAAAAAAUUAUAAAUUAGAAUAAUAUAAUUAAAAUUGAAAAGUACUUUAAAAAUAAAAAAGAAAACUUAAAUUCUUAACUUAUAAAUCAAUUAUGAUUCAAAAAAACUAAAAUUAUGAUACUAAAUUCUCUCUUUUGUGUCAAUUAAUUAAGAGAGCGUUUGAAUUAGAAAAUCCGGUAUUAAAGAAAAUUAAAGUUAUGAGUUUUUAUUUGCUUUAUUUAUUAUUUUAAUUUAAAAUAUUGAUUUUCUUUAAUUUAUCUAUUAUUAUAAUAACUUGUUGAUCAUUAAUUUAUUUCAAAUUUAUAAUAAUUUAAAUUUUUAAAUAAAUAACUAAAGCCCAAGCCCGGCCCAGGCCUGCAAUGUGCCCGGCCAGGCCAGGCCCAGGCCCAUACACUUAACUAACAGAGGGCCUGGACAUGGGCUUGAAAAAGCCCGGCCCAGGCCCGCUGUUUGCCAUCCCUAAAAUAAAGAGAGAUUAUCAGUUUCCUCUACUAAAAUUAAUAUUUAAAGAAUCUCCAAAAGACUCUAUUAAAUUUACUUUUCAAAUAUUUAUUUGCUUAUUUAUGUGGUAAAAAUGAGAGUAAAAAAAAAUAUUAUUAUCCAAAAGACUCUUCAAAUAGGAAUAAAUUAAUAUUAUUUUAAUCAAAUAAAUAUUUUUUCAAAGAAAAAUAAAUGUUAAUUAAAACACUUCUCUCUCUCUCUCCAAUAAAAAAUAAUAAAAUAUAAAUUGAAUUGAAAAGGGAUAAAGCAACUCUACAAAAUUAAAAAGAAGUAAUCAUUUUUUAUUUGAAAAAUCUUAAUCAUAGUGUUUUUUAGAGUUUCAAAUGCUGAUGUGACUAUUCAAAUAAGUAUUAAAAUCUUAUUUGAAGAGGUUUUUAAGAUGCUCUUCUUACUAGUUUUUUCAUACUAAAAUCAAUACAUACUACUUACCUCAUUAUUGUUUUCAUAAUAGCCAUAAACUCAUUGCCAUCAUAAUUUUAUAAUGUUGUCCUUAUUUUCAAAUACGCUAUUUAUUUAUAUUUAUUAUUAAUUAAAUAAAUCAUAUAAACAAAAAUUAAAUCUAUUUAUCUCUAUUUUUCUUUAAAUUUUUUAUGUUAUGAGAGUUAUUAGUCAUUAUGAAAACAGUAAGAAGGGUAAGUGAUAUAUAUUAAUCUUAGUAAAGGGAAACUAACAAUCUCUUUUUUUUUAAUAAUUUUAUUGGAAUGCAUUUGUUAUAAAAUUAACCGUUAGUAAAAACCAUCACCUAAAUUGUAGGAACAUUCAUGUUGAGUUAUCAAAAAUCAAUAAUAAAAUAUGUAGAAGCGUUCCUAAAUCAACAAUGCUUAAUUACUCUCUAGAACUGUAUGGUUUAUCUUCCAGAUCAAUAUAUUAUCCUAGAAAAUCCUUUAAGUUUCUCUAGGCACUCUAUUUGAUGACAAGAUGUCAAAAAAGAAUAGAAUAUUACGUGUGAUAUGGGAACCAAAAUCACUUAUACAAAUAACUUUCCCACUAUCUUUAUGUACUUCUAUUUUAGCCGAUCAUUGAAAUAAAAAUUACUCUUAAGUCUCUACUUAUUAAAGACUCAUACCUUAUCAAAUACAUUAAAGUACAAAUUAUCGAAAACCUUAAUAGUUCAAUUUUACUUGAGAUUAACCUUAUAAGACAAUAGGCAACAUAUAAUUAUUCAUAUAUAAACCUAAUGUUAGAUUAGAAAUCCAACAACAUUUUUGAAAAAAAUGGUUUUAUAAUGAUUGUGAAGGGUGCUAAUAGCCACUCUUUAAAUUAAGGAGGAUCAUCAAAUCACUCCUCUAAUUAACAAAAGUAACAAUUAGGCUCAUAAGUUAAUUUCCCAUUUGUCUCAAAUAUUUGUCAAUAAAUUUGCAUAAUAACUGUAAGAACAAAAUAAACCCUUAGAACUUACUAUUGUAACAAAACAAUUUAAUCUAAUAAAAAAUUUAAAUAAAAUACUGAAAAAGAUUUGAUAAAUUGAUGGUAUUGUCUUUAGACAUUUCAUUAUUUUGCUAAUGGUAUUGGAUGGGUACGAAAAAUUUAAAACAAGCAAUGAACUUGUAUACCUUUUUUUUUUUAAUAGGAAUUAAAACCUUCAUUCAUUUAGAGAUCAAAGAAGAUACAAAAUGUUCUCUGGGAAUGUUCCCAUCCAAACUGCAGGUUCGUCAUAAUCAAAGGCUGAUUUAGCUAAAAGGUGGGCAUGGGCAUUACAAGUCCUUGGGAUAUACUGAAUUCUAAUUUUACCCAACUCUUUAGCCAGAUCUUGGACCUCCGAUAUCACCCAGAAAACCUCAGUUCUACUGCCUGCCUUUCUGUUGAGAAGGUUUGAAACGGUUUGAGAGUCAAUUUCCACUAUAAUUGAAGACACCCCCAAAGUUUUCGCUGUCUACAACCUCCAUUCUACAGCCUCAGCCUCUGCAAAAGUUACAUCCCCAUGAAACUUUGAUGUCUUUACUGCAGCUGCUAUAAACUUUCCAGUUGAGUCUCUAGCAACAACUCCCAAACCUACUGAUUUCUUCUCCCUAUUUAUGGCUGCGUCCACAUUGAUCUUAAGCCAUCCUUGAAGAGGUGGAAUCCACUGCUGUUGUUGCUUCUAAACUAAGCUCAUGUGCAGGUGUGAUUCACUUGGAGAUUUGAUUCUUUUAUUGGAUUCUAUAACAGCCUCAACUUUUGCUAAAGAGAUCAGAGGAUCUACUUUCUUCCUUUCAAAAAGGAAAUUGUUUCUUGCAUGCCAGAUUGCCCAAAACACAACCACCAACAAUUCGAAUUCUGCAUGAUUCAAACAUUUCUGUCAUCUUUUGCAGCACAUCUACCAUGCUUUGUUCUGUAAGAGAAUAGACUUUAUCUAUAAAAUGGACCAUUCUCCAUAUCUUUCGAGCUGAAUUACAGUCCACUAAAGCACGAGAAAUGCUUUCCAUCUCCCUUUUACAGAGUUGGCAGAUAGGUUCUGGUAUCACUUUUCUCCUCCAUAGGAUUUCAGCUAAUAGUAACAAGUUUUGGACAUCUCUCCACAUAAAUAUUUUAAUUUUUUCAGGCAGGGUACUAGCCUAAAUAUUUUUCCAAAUUCCUGGCUUAUUUGCAAAGCAGCUGGGAAGUUCUUGAAACUUUAUCCUCUGAGCAAUCUUAUAUCCACUUUUGACUGAAUAAUUGCCUUUCUUAUCAUAAUACCAGAAUAUCUGAUUGAUCUUUAGUCUUUGUGGGAAAAGAAUGCUGACUAUUUGAUCUGCACAUUCCUUUCGAAAAUAAUGGUACACUUUAGUCAAAUUUCAGCUUUGAUUAUUAUUAAUCAGUUCAGAAACCACAACAUCAUAUGGAAGGGUUGGAAUAGAAAUUGGUCUGAACGUUGUUGGUCUUGGGAUCCAAUUGCAACUGUAAAUCUGCACCUUAUUUCCUGAACCGAUCCUCUAUCUAUAUCACUUCUGGAUUACAAGUCUCCCCCAUAGAAUACUUUUCCAGAUGUAAGAAGGAUUGGACCCCAGUUUUGCCUGCAAGAAAUCAGAAUUUCUAAAAUAUCUUGCUUGCAAAACUCGAGCCAUUAAAGAAUCUGGAAACUAAAGAAUCCUUCACCCUUGCUUAGCUACCAAUGCAUGAUUAAAACACGAGAAUUCUUUAAAACUCAUUCCUCAUCUGCAUUUUGCUUUGCUGAGCCUCUCCCACCUUACCCAAUGAAUGCCUUUUCCGAUCAUUCUUGGAUCCCUACCAAAGUUUAGGUAUAACUUUCUAGAUAUCAUCAUAAAGUCCUUGAGGAAUUUUGAAUACACUCAUGGCAUAAGUUGGAACCGCUUGGGCUAUGGCUUUUAUAAGGAUCUCCUUGUCACCUUUGGAGAAAUGCUUGUGCUGCCAACUUGAAACUUUGCUUAUCACCCUAAGCUUUAUGUCGUUGAAGAAGUUCAUUUUGUUUCUUCCGAUCAUGGAUGGUAGCCCAAGGUACUUCUCAUGUCUGGACACAACAUUCAGGUAAAAAAUUUCUUUAAUCGCAGCCACUCGGUCAGCCUUGGUAUUACCACUAAAAAACAUUAAAGAUUUGUCUAGGUUGAAUAACUGGCCAGAAGCAGUAGUGUAGCGAUCAAAGAUUGUUUUAAGAUGCUUGCAGUCAGCAACUGUUGCCUUUGUGAAGAUCAAGUUGUCGUCUGCGAACAACAGAUGGGAUACUAAGAUAUUGUUUCCAAACCUCAAUCCAUGUAUGAGGUUUUGAUUUUCAACCUACAUUAAUAAUCUGUAAAACACCUCAGCACACAAAAUAAAGAGAUAAGGGGACAAUGGGCAUCCUUGUCUAAGCCCUCGUUGCGGUUUUAUCUACCCUUUAGCAGCCUUAUUAAUAAGAACAGAGAAAGACGUGGUGGUGAUACAUCUCAUUAUUAGAUCAACCCAGCAUAAAACCAAGCCUAAUAUGAGCAUUGUAGCUUUUACAAAGGACCAUUCUACUCGAUCAUAAGCUUUACUUAUAUCUAAUUUUAGUGCCACAAAUCCAUUUUUCUUUCCCUUGCUAUGCCUAAUUUUGUAAAGACACUCAUAUCCAACGAUCACAUUAUCUGUUAUAAGCCUAUUGGGGAUAAAUACACUUUGGGAGGGGGAUAUAAUUUAGUGAAGAAUUUCCUUAAGUCUAUUUGCAAUGGUUUUUGCCACAAUUCUAUAAAUUACAUUACAAAGACUUAUAGAUUUGUACUCAGCCACUUUCUUUGGUUUCUCCACCUUAGGAAUAAGAGCAAUAUAUGUGUGAUUUAGUGAAUCAAUGUUACCUUGCUCGUUGAGAAUGUGGAGGCAUGUGUUGAUAACUCCUUCACGGACCAACUUCCAGUGCUUUUGAAAAAAGACUGCCGGCAGUCCAUCUGAGCUAGGGGCUUUGGUGGGACACAUCUGUGAUAAUGCUGUUGUUAUAUCCUCUUUAGUGAAAGGUUGUUAAAGUUUUUCAUUCAUCUCACCCAUGACCUUUGGAACCAGAUCAGCUAAUGCAACCUCAAUUUGAGCUUGCGAGGGAUUCGACGACUUAAAGAGCUUGUUAAAAAAACCACAAAAUUCCUUAUCUACUUAUCUUUCCUCCUUAGUCUAGUUGCCUCGUUCAGUUUCAAUUCCUUUAAUUUUUUUUUCCUUCUUCUUGAUGAUGCUUUUAAGUGGAAAAACUUAGUGUUUUUAUCUCCCUUCUUCAGUCAAUCCGCUCUCGAACUCUAUUUCCAAUAUAUCUCCUCAUCAUCCAAAAUUUUAUCAAUUUGCUUCUCAAUUUUUCUUAUCUCAGCUCCAUCUACAUAGGAUAUAAUACUCUGUCUAGCCCUUUGUAGCUCAUUUGUUAAUGACUUUAGCUGUUUUGUUCUCUCACCAAACUCUUCCCUGCUCCAAAUCUUCAGCUGAGCCAUUGUCAUCUUAGCUGAUUUUUUAAACAAUUGUACCGGGUUCACAUCAGUCCACACCCCUUGCAUACUCCACUCAUGCUUGAUUAUUUUCUUAUAGGCAUCAUACGAGCUCCACAUAUCCUCAUAGUGAAUUCUUUGCACGCUCUUUCUUCUACUGUUUACUUCAACACCCCUCUCCUCAACUUCCAUUAUCACUGGGCUAUGGUCUGAGCUCCGGGACUCUAAAUUAAUAGCUGCCAAAUCAUGGAAUCGGUUGCCCCACUCAGAGUUGCACAAAAACCUAUAUAAUCUCUCCUCUAUGAAGUUUGGCCCAUAUUUUCGGUUUGACCUUGUAAAAAUUCUUCCUUUGCACCCCAUGUCAGUUAAAACACAUUCUUGGAUUGCAUUUCUAAAUUCAAACAUCAUAUUUACAUCCCUAUUAUUCCCUCAUUUCUUCUCAUGCAAGUGCAAUAUUUCAUUAAAAUCACUGAAGCAUAGCCACGGUAAGGGAGAUAAGUUUGCUAACCGUUUCAUUAAUGUCCAUGUGUGCCUCUUUUGAGUUGUUUCUGGAUGCAUGUAUACCCUUGUGCAUCUCUAAUUUUUCCCUCCUUCAUUACAAAUCUCGGCAUCUAUAUGAUGUUGACUGUAAGAGGCUAUAUUUACAGCUAUAUCAGAACUCCAGAGCAUUGUUAAUCCCCCUCUUAACCGAUUCCUACCAACUGUAAAGCAAUUCUCAAAUUUCAGCUCAACACGAACAUCCAUUUGCAUAGGCCGCAUCUUAGUCUCACAUAAGAAAACAAUUUGUGGCUUAUAUGUUUGGAGAAUAUAUUUGAGUGACGUCUGGAUAUUCCCCAAACCCCAGACGUUCCAGCUGAGGAUUUUCAUGGCUGUCGGCGGGCUGACUACCAGCCUCCGCCGUUAAUUCAUUGAUAGUUGUCUCAGUCACCUCCAUUUAUUCCAUGUCUUGUGUUUCUAGACUGGAGCUAAGCUCUGUUAUGGAGCAAUUUUCAUUAUGCGUUGCUUCCAUCCUCAUCUAGUUGUCUAUUUUUUAUUUUUUAACUUUUGGACUUAACUUUCCCGCUUUUUGCAUGGGCAUUUUCUUGGCAAUUUAACCCAUUUUAUUUUCAUCUUUAGUGCAAUUAUCUAUUGUCAAAUGCUUCCAUCUCCUUGUUUUAGGCCUCUCCAUAAUUGUUCUCGUUUCCUCUUUUACCAAUUCCUUCAUUGAAGUUGCUUGGGCUUUGUUUACUAAGCCCAUUGAUCCCAACUUUUGGAUGUCUUCUGCAUUUCCACCUUCCCGCCAGUUUCCUCCCGCUUCUUUGUCCACAUUUCCCAACAUCUCUUUCUUUCCAGCUGUUGUGAUUUGAUCUUUACACCCAAGUGGCUGCUGCAUCGAUUUCUUCCCUUUUAAUGUUAAUUGUUUAUCCAAUUCCACUGCCACGUGGCUUUUGCUUAUUGGUACUGUCGACUCGCCCGUUUCAAUCUGGAUUGCUUCUGACCCGGUUUCUGUAGUUGAGAUGGGUUGCCUCUGUCUUUGGUUAUGGUUCCUCAGAUCAUCUUGUUGCCCAUUCUCAUUCAUCCUUGUAUUAUUGCUUUUGUUCCACCUAUAUUAGACUUGUUAUGGUUGAGACGUUCGAAUACUAUUACAGCCUUUAUCCAUGGACCAAAAGUAAAGUUUUCUUGUUUAUGAGUUUUGUACUUGACACAUUCUCUGAACUGAUGGCCGAUGAUUCCACAACAAAAGCAAGAGUCUGGUAAUCUCUCAUAUAUAACUCGCAUUGGGACUUUUUCUUCCCCCUCUGAUUCGAGAAAGAUAAUAUUCUUUAACGGUUUUGUAUCAUCCACUCUAAUUCAGACUCUAGCAAUCUCCCCAAUAUAUUCCCCAUCUUCGUUUGUCUCUACUUUCUCUACACUACCAAUAAUAAUUCCCAGUCUUGAAAUUGCUUCUAUAUUCAUGGCCAUAAUUGGUAUGUUAAGAAUCUGGACCCAAAAGGAAACGUGGGUGAAUGCUUGCUUUGUAAUGUUUGCUAUUCCUUCUGGCUCUGUAAGGACUAUCAAAGCUUUAUUAAAAUAAUAGGGCUUGCCGGCUAGCACUAUUCUUUUAUCAACUUCUAAAGUAAAUUUGAACAUGAACACAUUUUCUCCCAAACUCUCAACUCUCACCCCUAGUACUGUUCUCCACACUUGGUGAAUCACUGAUCUGAGCCCUUCAAUAUUGACUCCCCUUGUGGUUAGAAAUUUUCCAACUAAACAUCCUGCAAUAAUUUCUGCACCUUUUAUCUUCAUCUUGUUGACAAAAGACACUUUGUCUUCUUCUUCUCCUUCUAAAGAAAUGGCAAUACAUAGUGGUUCCCCAAGGAAUAAAUUCUCUCACCAACCCCUUUAGUGUUUUCUUAACUUUUUACACCCUCUGCUUAGCUUGAACUAAUCAACAAGAAACUUUAUAGAGAGCCUUUUACUUCUGACUUUCCAGAACACUAAAGAAACAUCCACUCACUCAGCUAGGGGUGACAGGAUUGAGUCACUCGGACCCCAUUACCCUUUCAUUCAAAGUUCUCUUUCUAGAGAAAGAGACUAUUGAAGAAAGACUAGUCAACGGUGUCUUUACAAACGUGUCAUUAUAGCUUGUAUACCUAUUUGUUACCUUCGUAAAUCAUGCGGUUGAAUUUUAUAUUUACUCCUUAAUGAUGUCCUUGAAUUAUGCUUAACGUAAAAAAUAGAGAAGCUAUUCAUUAUCAAUUAUCACUUGUCUCAUUCAUUACCUUUAUCAUCAUUUUUUCUGUUAAUUAUUAAAUAGGUAGUACAAUGCAAAUAAUGAUAAAUAUAGCACAAUAAUUUGGGUGGAACCUAAACCCAGUUCAAAUUCAUCAACAUGUUGUCAAUGCCUAAACAUCUGAAACCAAAUAAACAACAUAUGACUAAACUUUCACAUCUACAGAGAGACUUAAAUUUGUUGAUCUCAAUGAAGAGACUGUCAAUUGACCAACUAAAUCGAUUAAGAAAUUGUUAGCAUUAAUCAUCAUUUUAUUUUUAUUGGAUUUUCAAUAAUGUGUAGUUAUUAUGAAUUGGAAUUUUGAUGUCAGUCACAUGAACAAUUAGUAAAAUAGUUAUUAAAUUUUAAAUUAGUUAAAAAAACAAUAAAGGGCACACGCACACGCACACACACACGUGUAAAAGUAGUGGUUGAGCAUGACCAUAUGCAAGACAAAGAUCACACCAUGUGGAAGGAAUGUUUGCAUGCUAGAAAAACAUUGGCAGAAGUAUAUAACGUGGAGCCCAUAUAUAAUACUCAUAGUCAUUACCUACAAACUAUAUGACUCUUCAGAAGAUGAACCAUUAUUUAUGCAUAAGGAUGUACUGUGUGAUGUAACAUAAAGUAGUAGUGAGUUAUAAAGUAAUAUUCUUUAAGUGAUAAGAUGUAAUGAUGUAUUGUGUAUUUGGCCAGAUCACAUUACCAAAUCUUUAUAUAUAUAUAAGAUUUUAUCUCAAAAGAUAUGACAUAUAAUUUAUUUUUUUUAAAUAUCUGGUGUAAGAUUAUUACAUUAAUUAUAGAAAAUAAAGAUAGCACAUGAGACAUGGCAAGUUUUAAUUAUGGUGAUGUAUGCAAUCUUGUUAGUUUUAAUUAUGUUCGAAUUUUAUGAGACUUAUUAUAUUAUAAUAAGAACAUUUAUCUCUUAUUAAUAAGAACAAAUUUUCAGAGAUUGAUCCAAAAUUUAGAUUCUCUCGCUGCUAAAGUCCUAAAGGCGAAGUAUUUUAAAAAUGAUGAUUUCCUGAGUGCUUCAAUGGGCUCAAAUUCAUCUUAUGUAUGAAGAAGUAUAUUGUGGGGACGACAAGUGAUUCUCAAGGGCUAUAGAUGGAGAAUUGGCCCGGGGGGGUGGGGGUGGGGAAUAUUUCAGUGUAUAUAGGAAAUUGGAUUCCAAGACCAUCCAACUUCACAGUCUAAAAAUGGCUCUUGAUGCUACUGUAUCAGUGUUGAUAGAUAAUGACAACAAGUGGAAGAUUAAUUUGAUUCAAUUCUAAAUACUUUUAUUAGAAAUAUCGAUUAAGUAUCUCUAUUUAUUUCAUUUAUCUCAUUGUUGAUAUAAAAGUAAUUUUUUAUUAUUAUAGGAUUAUGAAGAAUGACAAAGAUAAUUAUUAUGGUGAUUUGUACUUUGUAAUGUGACUUUUGUAAUGGAUUAAUGUUAAUGUAAGAUAUAUUGUAAAAAAAAAAUUUAUUUUUUACUUUAAUAUGAUUAAAUUAAAAUAAAAAACUAAAAACGUAUCAAUUAUUCGGGGAUCAGGUAUUCUUGUGGAUCCCCUAUUAUUAUUCGGGGAGGGGACGAGGAUUCCCUAAAGCAAUUUUGUCAGAAAUAAGGAGGAGAUGAAGAUAUAUGCAGAAUAUUAGGGAUGGGUACGGGCAGGUCGGUCUCCUCCCUUCCCCUUCCCCUUCCCAUUGCCAUCUCUAAUUCUAAAUGAAGAUGCAAAUGCAAUUUUAAGUAUUCCACUAUUGUGAAAGGGACUCACACAAGCAGUUGCAAAUUAAGUAGAAACAAAACUUUUUCCUUCUUUGUGUAAUUAAAAUCGGAUGUUUACCACAAAUAAAUAGGUAGAAAAAUAAACUAAAACAAUCCAAAACAAAAAUCAACCAUAAAAGAUACAGAUUUUACGUGGAAAACACAAAGUGAGAAAAAUCACGAGACUAUAGUUCAAUAUAAUCUUCCAUUAGAUUAAUGAGAUUACAAUACAAAUUCUUAUCUAGAUAAUACUAAAGGUUAACAAUAUAAAAAGUCUCAAUAUUCUUGACUUACAAUAACAGUCUAAUAUAUGUUUCUCUUAUAAAUGAAUAUAUCAAAUAAUAGCUAACAAAAUAAUAAAAUAAAAAUUUAGACAAGUAGAAUUAUAGAAGAUGAUGUUAGAAAUUUAUUCUCAAAAUUUAAAAAAAAAUUAAAAUUAAAAUUACCUUUCGAUCGUUUAAAAUCACUGUUUUUAAAACAAAAGCCGUGUUCUUUCACUCUCCCUCGCCUUUUUCGAUUACGUAAUUAGGGCUGCCGCAUGCUUUUGUUCUUUAUAUAGCCAACGUCCUUUUCAAAGUCAAAUUUUAUGGUAAUUUUCACAUAACUCUAACUUAUUUUUUUAAUUGUUUAAAUAUCCAAAUUAAUGAAACCUGGACUUUAACCAUCCAAAUGAAAUGGAUUCUGACACUAUCACAAAAAAGGGAAGUACUAAGUUAAGAAUGGAUACCAAGUGGUAGGGGUGGGCAUUUUACCCGAUCCGACCCGACCCGACCCGAUAAAUUUCGGGUUCGGGUCGGAUCGGGUCGGGAUCGAAACCCGAUCGAUUUGAAAUUUACAAACUCGAUCGGGUUGUGAUCGGUUCGGGUCAAAUUCGACCCGAAUACCCGAUCGGGUUCUUAAAAAAAAAAAAAAACAUACUGACCCGAAUUGACCUGAUUUCAACCGACCCGAACUGACCCGAACUAACCCAAAUUGACCCGAACUCAAUCCUACCCAUUUUAAAUCCAACCCGAUCCAACCCGAACAUAACCCGAAUUAAUGACCCGACCCGAACUAUGUUCGGGUCGAUUCGGAUCGGGUCAUUAAUUCGGGUUAUGUUCGGAUUGUUCCUUGUCUAACCCGAACAACCCAAAACCCGAUCGGGUUAACCCGAACCCGAUUUUACCCACCCCUACCAAGUGGCUUUAAACAUGAAAUUUUUGGAUUCACCUACAUGCUCUAACAGUAAAAGUAGCAAUUGGAGCAUUAUAUGGAUGCUUACCCUCCCAGAAAAGGAUCAAGAUUCAAUUGGAGCAUUAUAUGGAUGCUUACCCUCCUGGAAAAGGAUCAAGAUUUUCACCUGAGAAGCAGCAAAAAACUUACUACCACAACUGAAAAUUUGUGGAAGCGUAGAAUUAUCUAGCUCAUUACCAGCGCUGUGGGAAUAGACUGGAAAACACUUUGCAUGCUUCGGAUACUUGCUAAGCAGCAAAGAAAAUCUGGCAACUCUCACCUAUGGCAAGUGCAAUUCAAGAGAUGGGAAAUGCAGACCUUCUUGGGGACUUGAUGAUAUUGCAGAAGAAAUUAAGUAAAGUUGAUUUAGAGCUUCUGGUGACAAUUUUUUUGGGUGAUUUGGCAUGCUAAAAACAAAUUUGUUUUCAAAGGAUUGAAGUUAGAUCCAAGUCUAUCAAUGGCCAAAGCUCAAGCAAUUAAUGAGGCUUUUAGAAGACCCCAAUUUGCAGAGAUGCUGAAAGAGAAGAAAUUGCAGAAGAAGAAUAAAAAAGUAUGGGCUCCACCACCCCAAGGAUGGCUAAAAAUCAACGUUGAAACAUCUACUGAUACAAAAAGAUAAUGCCCUCGAUUAGGAGCAAUAAUCAGAGAUUCCACAGGGAAGUGCAUAGCAGCAGCCAUAAGAACCUCGAAGUUUAGGGGAGAUGUAUCUUAUGUGGAAGCAGAAGCAGCUGAGUGAGGUAUCCAUAUUGCAAAGGAAGUAAGGUCUGCAAUCAGUUAUUUUGGAAACUAAUUCUCAAGAGGUAGCAAACUUGAUAAAUAAUAGAGGAUGUAAGAUAACAUAGAUCUACUGGAUUAUUUCAGAAAUUCAAGCUCUAAAGAAGAAUUUCAGAUCUUGUGAAGCUAAGUAUGUACCUAGAUCGUGUAACGCUUGUGCCCAUUUUUUUAACUAGGAGACCAAUAGAAAAAGCUGAAUCAGUUGUUUGGUUGGGAAAUUUUUCUCCCGAAAUUAUGACUUUCCCUUUAAAAAAAUAAAAUAAAAUAAAUUUUCGGGAAAUGUAUGUCUCGAAUCGUAAAUGACUUAAAUGAAUCUGGGCAGAUACAUGAGUUUGACUGUCCAAUACCAAUGAAUCUUUGUCGAUGAAUCCGAGCCGUCCACGUCGGGUGGGCCCCACAUUGUUACCAAGUGUAUUUAUUCAUCCAUUCCUCCUCAACACAUUCGGAGGCAAAGGCUCAAAGUGCGCGCGUCUCUUCUCUCCAUUCCCUCCAAACACAACACGACCUCAUAUUCUCUUUCAUUCGCCAACCCCCACCCCCACCACCACCACCCGGAACGACGCCGCAUAAUCCAACCAACAAAACCGACCGAACCAGCCAUCAUUACAAAGGUUAGCUUCGUUUCUCAACUUUCCAACUUUAUUAUUAUCUCUUACUUCGCUUAUAAUAUUAUAUGAAUUUUACAAUUUAAAUCUUUGCUAAUUGCAGAAGCAAGAAGAAGCAAAGUGAAUAUGGCUUUGUGUUCAUCAUCAACCUCCCCUGAGCUUAAAUGUUGUUGCUUUGACAAUUUGAGAGGUAAAAAUCCGAGCUUUAAUGAGCCAAACCAAUUUCUAAGGAUUGGUGAUUGCUAUUCAAACAAGGGUCGUGUUCAAGUUCAAGCAUCAAGCCAGCUAAGUGGGCACUUAGAAGGAUCCUUUAUGGAAAAGAAACGCCUCCAGGAACCACUUUCUCACAGGAAGCUUGAAUUUGUGAGAACAUUGUUGAUUGAUAACUACGACAGCUACACUUACAAUAUCUAUCAGGAGCUCAGUACCAUUAAUGGCGGUAAGUUUCUUCUUCUUCUUCUUCUUUUCAAUUUUUUCCCUUUGAAAACCCAGAUGCAAUUCUUUUUUCUUGAAAUUUUCAAAAGAAUUUUUGUGGACACAAUAUGCUGUCUUGUAAACGUGUAUCGGGUUGUGUUUUCGCUUGAUUUUUGAAGUUUUGCAAAUACUGCGGCUAAAGUGUUUGAAAAAAAAAAACAAAAAAAAUCACUUUACAGUUGGCGGCUAACGUGUACCAACCACUCGUUCACCUACCCAUUUAUAUUUGGUAUCCAAAACCUUCAAGGUGUUUGAUAUAUUUCAAAAUGUUCGUUAAAUGUGGUAGGUCCUAUUUCUUUGCCUCUCAUAUGUUGGUUACUAGCAUAAAUCAAGGCUCUGUUGCGUGUCAUAUUGGAAAAUGUUUUAAGUACUAGAAGAUAGAUAACCGUGACUUAUGUGUCUCCUUGUUUGUUUUAAUGCUCUGUUGACUUAUAACUGUUCAGGGAGUAAUGAGUUUACUGUUUUCCUUCUUUUAGCAUUAUCUUGAAGUCAGAUUAGUUUCCAAAAGCAAUUCUGUUUGGCCACCAGAUUAGAUUCUUGGCAGCUAACAUCGUCAUUAUGGUCAAGUCAGUGAGAUUAUGUCUUUCCUGUUUGGUAUCAUUUUUUAAGCUGGGUUCUAUUCAAAGAAUCAUUUUGUUGGGUCCGCUAGAAAAAUGGUGACAACUCUCACAGGAAAGAUGGUUGUUCAUUGAUUGAUUUGUUCAAUCUUUGUGAUCAUAAAUGUUAAUACAAGCCAAAAUGAUCAUUGUUUUGACACCUUUAUGUUGGGUUACUGUUCCAGUGCCCCCUGUUGUGGUGCGCAAUGAUGAGUGGACAUGGAGAGACAUUUGUCGAUACUUGUAUGAAGAGAAUGCAUUUGACAAUAUUGUAAUAUCCCCUGGACCUGGUUCGCCCGCAUGUCCAGAAGAUAUAGGUGAGAAAGCAAUAAUUGCUUGAUAUAUAUGUUGCUUUAUUUUUUUCUCUUUACAGCUGCUCCAGAUAUAUAGUCUAGAAAGUACAGGCUGGAUGUCUACAGGGCUUUUGCAAUCUUGAGGGGUGGAAUCUCCCAUCAUAAGUCACAACCAAAAUGAUUGCUAUUGCGUCCACAUAUAUCUAAUUGUUGCCACAUCCUGCAUAGAGUGGUAUACUACAAUUUGAUUGUUCAUACAACAACUUGAAUGUAAUUGGGAUAAUCUUGCCAGAUCAACAGAGAAAUUUUUAUCUAUUCAGACUUCUGCUUAAUUUCUGUCUACAUAAGUCUGCUUCUUAUUUUUUAAAUUUGAAAAAAUCAUGUUAAAUUUUUUUUACAGGAAUAUGUCUACGUGUGCUGCUUGAGUGCUGGGAUGUGCCUAUUUUGGGCGUUUGCUUGGGACACCAGGUAUCUCAUUUUUAAUAUUUUAUUUUUUCUUUCGUCGCUUUGGGUAUGUGUGUGUUUAUAUUAAUCUGAUACCCUGUUAUCACUAUUUCAAUUCAUCAGUUGGUAAGCAUGGGUUUGUAUGUUCACAUAUUGAUUUGUAUUUUGUUUAAUUGUUCUUUAGUGCUUUAACCUGGCUGUUGCCUCCUUUGAAUCUAUAAUAUGUUUGUUUACUUUUCCCAUUUAAGGUUUCAUGUUAUAAUCUUGGUGGGAAUUUUGUGUUCCCUCUGAGAGCUGAAGUGUAGAAUUUGUCAAACAUGGUGCUUUAUGAAUAUUGAACAACCUUUACCAUUCUAAUCAAUUUCCUAAAAUUUCCUAAUCUCCAUGGUUUUAAUAAAUUAUAGAUGAUGAUGUGAGUACUGACAAUUUUGCAGGCUUUAGGCUAUGUGCAUGGUGCUGACAUUGUCCAUGCACCUGAACCUGUUCAUGGACGCUUGAGGUAUGUUCAAAAAACAUGUUCUAUUAGUGAUAACCAUGAAUAUAUAGUUUUGGUUGAUACUGAAUCUCAUCUGUCUGACUUCAGUUAACAUUGAUAACAAAUCUACAUUUUUUUAUUUCCUGAUAAAGAAUGCUUGCUGGUGUGUACUCCUAUUUCCUUCAUUAACCUAUUUGUUGUCUUGGACAGCGAAAUUGAGCAUAAUGGGGACAGACUGUUUCAUGAUAUUCCUUCUGGCCAGAAUUCAGGAUUCAAGGUGAGUUUGUCAUCUUGUCUUUUGAACAAGUUUGAAUUACCUGUUGUCUCUUUGUAUGCUAUAACAACUACUAUUUGAUUAGUCAUUUGGUUAUUGGCGAAGUAUUAGCAUGAGAAAGUGGUGCUUUCAUUCAUGGAUUCUCAGAUUAAUACUUCUAGCAUUAUUCUCCUAUAUCACAUGCAGACAUUCUGAAAAUACUGCAAGAUUUCAAAUUUCUUCAUGUUCAUGAUUCUACUCUUCAAUCUUAUUACAUUGCAGAACAAGUUGCAAUUUGCAACUUUUGAAGCAUGCUGAAGCCAAAGUUUUACGUAUUAGAAAUGUUUUCUGAUCAUACAGAAUUGUGUGAAUACUCUGCAUAUAUGGCAACUUUGAUUUGAAAAUCCAGUGAACCAGAGUUAAAAUUAUUAAAGGCCUUCUCGUAUGUGAUUUAUCUUUCUAUGCAAUUGAAGUAUCAUCUUAGCUUCACUAUGGGUGUCAGUCACUAAGGAUUCCAGGACACUUCGUUUUUCUUCAUACAUCUUAACUGGAGGGGAGUUUUAGAAUAUAUUCUGCUCAUUUCUGUAUAGGGUUAGGUAGUCUCUUUUGGGUUAAGUCACACUUUUGGGGAUUGAUACAGUUCUGUAUAGCUUUGAUUGAUUUUGCAUGGAUAACUGGUCCAGUACUAAAGUGCUUUUGUCCAUUAUUUAGUGAUCCAAAUACUCAUAAUUUCUUAUUAAAAAAAAAAGAGUAUCAUCUUAGAAGAGUAAGCCACUGUUGAUCCAAAGGGUGUAUGGGCAUUGCUUUUGCGCUCAUUUAUUUAUUAUUUAAUGCAGGUCGUUCGAUACCAUUCACUUAUAAUAGAUGCAGAUUCCCUGCCCAAGGAACUCAUACCUAUAGCUUGGUCCAAUUCCGCAGACGGGUUUUCUUAUCUUGGGACCCUGCAGUCUGGUGAAAUCCCAGAUGCUUAUGAAAGUCAGAGUAGGCAAAAAAUCCUUCUCAGUGAUAUUUCAACCCAGAUAAAAAAUGGAAGUUAUCGGCAUUCAAUCUACUCUAAUAGAAUGCGCAGAGAAGUUCUCAUGGGUAUCAUGCAUUCUACCAGGCCUCACUACGGUGUGCAGGUGCAAGUGUAUUUGUAUUACCUCAUAUCUGAUUUUUGAUUUUUUGACUUUUACUCUUUUAUUUAUGUUCCACUUUCUUGACUUUCUUCCACGAUUCAGUUUCAUCCAGAGAGCAUUGCUACCUGUUACGGGAGCAAGAUAUUAAGAAAUUUCAGAGAGAUAACAGAAGAUUAUUGGAAGAGAUUGAGAUCACCAUUUGUUAAGGAGAGAAAUGUUCAUUAUACUGGUAAACAGGAGCUCUUUAAAAUUAUGAAUGAACUGCUGUUCUUGUUUGCUAAACCUGAGUUUUAUUUACUCCACUCUCCCUUUUCUUUUUAUACAUACAUAAACAUGCAUUUCCAUGCAUGUAUUUAAGGAAUCUACUUCUUGUUGGCUACUUCAUAUGCUGAGUAGAUGCCUAUGUUAAUUCACUUUUUACGAGGAAUACCUGUGAUUUUCUCUGGGCAGUGAACCGUUUAUAGAUGCAUGCAGGUGCUGAAAGCCUACUUCUCAGAGAAAUUACUAGAACUAGCCGAUCAGUGAAUAACUCUGAUGAACUUGGUAGAGAAGCUCUUAGACCUAGGCAAUUAUUUUGUGAUUUGGGUGAUAGAAGGUUCGGAAUUCAACAUUCAAGAAGGUUUGAAAUUCAACGUUCAAGCAUUGGAGUAAAGUGUUUAAAGUUGACAUGGAGGAAAUUUGAUCACUUGGCAAGUACAGUUGGAGGGGCAAGAAAUAUUUUCUGUGAACUAUUUGGGAAUAACAAGGCUGAAAACACAUUUUGGUUGGACAGUUCCUCGACAGAGAAGGUUGGUUUUCUGCAUAAUGACUUCUGUUACUGAUGAUGUAUUAACAUAUAAAAUAUCUUUUAUUUUGUUGGAGGUACUGUAACUUAUGUUGAAUCAACUUCAGUUGAUUGGAAAUUUUAUAUUUCUUAGUUUUCUCUUCUAUGAUCAGGGAAGAGCACGUUUUUCUUUUAUGGGGGGUAAAGGCGGAUCUCUUUGGAAGCAAGUGACGUUUAGAUUGUCUGAUCAAAGGUUUGAAUAAGCACUAGCCUUGUGAAUUAGUGCUGAAAUUUUAAAAUUUCUUUUGUUGAUUGUGUUUAGAAUGUAAUAUCUGUGUUUUUUUAGGUUUUCAUUGUUAACCAUGUACCUGGUUAUCCAUUGAACGUUAAGUUGAACAACUAAUUGCAAAGUUUCCAUAUAUUAAGAUUAUCAUAUACAAUUUGCAGAAAUGAUAUAUGAGACAUAAUUGUUUCAGUGAUGUGAAAUUUACCUCUGGAGGACAUUUAUUGAUUGAAGAUGCUGAAGGCUCUAUUGAAAGAGCAUAUCUGGAAGAAGGAUUUUUUGAUUUUUUGGAUAAGGUAUUCAAUGUAUAUUACUAUAUUCUAUCCAUAAGAAUUCUUUCUCCUAUAUACAUACAAUAAUUUAAUAAUGUUUAUACCAAAAUUAAGUCUGUUACUUAAUUCAUUGAUAUGUCUCUCAUUAUUUGAUCUCUGUAACAGGAGCUUCUUUCAUUCCAUCAUGAGAAAAAAGAUUAUGAAGGAUUGCCAUUUGACUUUUACGGUGGAUAUAUUGGUUAUAUAGGGUAUGUGGUAAAUUUUAUUCAACAAGACAUUCAUCAAUCCUUUUUUUUUUUUUUUUAUCUCUUACAGUUCUUCACUAAACUAAUAUGAUUCAGGGCAUAUUUUUCAUAUUGUUUUAUAUUAUGUGGAGUAAUUAUCCAAUUGUUGAUGAUGUUUAAUUAAAGCACCAUGUUAGAAGUGUUUUCAAGUUUUGUGCGUGUCAUUAAAUUUCUCUUCUUUAAUUUCUUUACAACUGUGUAGCCUGCCUGAUUAGCACCAUAAUCAUUCUCUUCAGAUACGUGAAAUUCUGACUUCAGUGUUCUUAAUCUACCCGGAUGUAAAUAUAAAUACAUUUAUAUUUUCCAUAAGAUUGUAACUUUGAGGUCGUAAACUGUGCUCAUGAAUCUCUUUUCAUUUCUUGAUUUGAAGUGGGGAAACCCAAGUUCAAGAUAUUGGAUAUCAUCAAACAAACAGAUUACCGGAGGCAGUAUUUUUGCUAAAAUUUAAUCUUUAUGUUUUGACGGAUCUUAGUAUCACUUAUCUUACUCCAAAUAAGAGGUUAAACUCCAUAAUGUUCUACUUUCUUUCUGAUAGGAUCUGAUAUUGAUUUUCUUGUAAUGCAGAUAUAACCUUAAAGUUGAAUGUGGUGCGGCAUCUAACCAUCACAAAUCCAGGACUCCUGAUGCUUGCUUCUUCUUUGCCGAUAAUGUUGUAGUUAUAGAUCAUCUUUAUGAUGAUGUUUAUAUAUUGUUGCUAAAUGAAGAAAACACACCAAUGUCCACAUGGUUGGAUGCUACAGAACAGAAGCUUAUUGGCUUAAGAGCUUCUUCAACAAGGCAGUUGGAGGAGCAGAAUUUACAUGCUCCAACAGUUUCUCGAAAUAAAUCAGCCUUUAUUUCUGAGGUAUCAAGAGGGGACUACGUAAACAAUGUUGAGAACUGUCUGAAAUACAUAAAAGAUGGAGAAAGCUAUGAGUUAUGUCUUACAACCCAGCUACGAAAAAGAAUUGGGGAAAUAGAUUCUUUGGGGCUUUACCUUCACCUUAGAGAAAAAAAUCCAGCACCAUAUGCUGCCUGGCUUAGUUUUUCUAAGGAGGAUUUAUGCAUUUGUUGUUCUUCUCCUGAGAGGUUUCUACGAUUGGAUAAGAAUGACUUAUUAGAAGCAAAACCCAUCAAGGGUACCAUAGCUCGUGGAUCCACACCAGAAGAAGAUGAACAGCUCAAAUUGCAACUGCAGUAUAGGUAAUAACAAUUUGCUAUUCGAGCAGUCUCGAAAAAUACCACUGCACUUUGUUCCCUUUGGCUUAUAAUUGCAUUUUCUUGAUUAGCUAGGGUAGUGUCUCAUCGAGUAAAGCAUAUCUCUCCUCUAGGCAUCAAUCCUGCGCAGCUUGCAGAAAAAUUUGGAUUUUUCAUCUCUCAUCUUGAUUCUGUGAACUAACACAUCCUCUUUUUCUCGUCCCUUCUUUCUGUUGACAGUGAAAAGGAUCAGGCUGAAAAUUUGAUGAUAGUGGAUCUUCUAAGGAAUGACCUUGGUCGUGUCUGUGAGCCGGGAUCUGUACAUGUCCCAAAUCUCAUGAAUGUGGAAUCAUAUGCAACAGUUCACACCAUGGUGAGUACAAUCUGUGGGAAAAAGCAUUCAAAUGUUAGUGCAGUUAAUUGUGUCAGAGCAGCAUUCCCAGGUGGUUCAAUGACUGGUGCACCAAAGUUGAGGUCGAUGGAAAUUCUUGAGUCUAUUGAGAGUUGUUCUCGGGGUAUCUACUCUGGCUCAAUUGGGUAUUUCUCAUAUAAUCGAACAUUUGAUCUAAACAUAGUCAUAAGAACAGUUGUCAUACAUGAGGGUGAAGCUUCCAUAGGAGCAGGAGGAGCUAUUGUUGCCUUAUCAAAUCCUGAAGAUGAAUAUGAAGAAAUGAUUUUGAAAUCAAGUGCUCCAGCAAAGGCUGUGAUGUACUUUGAUUAGCGAUUAUUCUGAAUCCAGAGGAUUGUUACUUUCAUCAUUGUUCGUUUGGGGCUGCAGAGAACUCUAGCUGAAAAUAUAGUGUAGCUCAAUUCAUUAUUGGUUUGGUGGUUUGUUUCUCCAAAACAAUAAACAUUGUUUUCCAAGCAAUGCAAAAUGGUUCAAUUCUUUACUUUCAAUGGAAUGGAAAUGCUAUACACAGUUGAUUUCCUUGGGUGACCUCUACCUUGGUAACCUUAGAGCACAUGAUGGUUUUUUCUUCUUUCAUUUCUCUCUUUUAAAAAAAAAAUCCAAAAUACCAUUCUCUUUAUUUUAAACAACAAAUUGCUAUAGAUCUACGGGUAGAGACACCAAUCUAGGAGAGUAAUUUUAAAGGCCAUUUAAUUAUUAAAAAAAAAAUUUCUUUGAUGACCUGAGUGAAGUACAGAAACUCUGUCAGUACGAAGGCCUGUGCGCUGUAUCUGAAGUCAUAAACUAAAACAUGUAGAGUCACCAAUAAUCCCCACAAGAACAAACACCAUCCUUAAAAUGGUGAAACCGAUGCAUGUCCCUUACAACAAUGAGCCGAUUCUCAAUCUUUGAAAUCAACUUAAUUGCAUUAUGACAGUCUCCACAUAUCCUGAGAUUCUUGGUGAUGCGAAUGGUAGUACCUGGAGCAGUUUUGAUGAGACCAAAAGCAAUGGCCAGCCUCUCACUGUGGUAAGAAAGUGCCUCUUCUUUUGCCUCCUCUUCAAUAUCAUGAAGCACAAAAUCUGUCAUAGGAAUAUAACCUAAUUGUUUCAUCGGAGCAGAUAAUUCUUGAAGUGCAGAAUAAAUCUUCUCAGAUUCAGAAUGAGACCUGUCUCCUACCCCAAACUUAUAAACUACAUUGUUAAACUCAAUUAAACUAAAACCCUGCUCUUUAGUAGCUCCUCUUCUACCCAUCAUCAACCUCACCUUUUCUACUUCUUUCCAUCUAGAUUUAGCAGCAUAGAUAUUUGAUAGUAAUACAUGGUAGCCUGAAUUAAAGGGGUCCAGCUGAAAAAUACGAUCAGCAAUUUUCUCUGCUAAAUCUAAAUUACCAUAAAUUCUGCAUGCACCAAGCAAAGAUCCCCAUAGACUUGCAUCAGGUUCCAUUGGCAUAUUCUCUAUAAGUUUCUCUGCUUCAGAAAGUUGUCCAGCGCGGCCAAGAAGAUCUACCAUACAUGAGUAGUUGUUGAGUUUUGGUACAAUUCCAAAACCCUUCAUCGCUUCAAAAUACCUCUUACCCUCUUCCAAUAACCCAGAGUGACUACAGGCUGAUAGAAUACAAGUAAAUGUUAUAUAAUUUGGCCUCACCCCAGCUUUUACCAUGUUAUCGAAGAGAUCAAUUGCCCUCCGUCCUUGUCCAUGAAAUCCACAGCUAGCGAUCAUUGCACUCCAACAAACAACGUCUUUCCCUUCUGUUUGAUCAAAUAAUUUAUGCGCCAAAUCCAAACUACCACACUUGGCAUACAUAUCCAUUACAGCAGUUGCAACCAGAACAUCAGACUCAAAACCAGUGUGAAUCACAUAACUGUGAAACCACUCACCUUUCCUUGAAGCCCCAAGAUUGCCACAUGCCAAAAGUACACUCAAGACGCUGACCCUAUUUGGCUUUACUCCUAAAUCACGCAUCAAAUCAAAAAAACUCAAUGUUUCACUAUUAUAUCCAUUCUGGGCAUACCCAGAAAUCAUCGAAGUCCACGAAACCAAGUCCCUCACAGACAUUUUAUCAAACACAGCACGUGCAUCCUCGACAUUGCCACAUUUUGCAUACAUAUUUACUAAAGCAGCAUUAACAAAAACAUCAGAAUCACAACCACAACACACCAAAUGCUGGUGAACUAACUUGCCUAUCUGCAAGUUAGACAAGCCUGCGCAUGAUUUUAGCGCGAAAGGGAAGGCAAACUUGUCAGGCUUGAAACCAUUUUGCAUCAUUUUGGCAUACAGAGCCAAAGAUUGGCUGAAUUUGCCUUGAGUGGCAUAUUCUCUAAUCAAAAUAUUCCAAAGAUAGCUGCAUGGGUUUGAUAUAUAUUCAAAAACAAGCCUUGCAGUAUCUAACUUAUUGAAUUGAACAUAAAAAAUAGCUAUUUGGUUUAGUAUAUUAUUGUCAUUUUGGAGUCCACAAACAAAAUUUUUUGCAUGGGACUUCUUUACAGUGUUUAAGCUAGAGCAUUUCUGCAAACAAGAGGUAAGGACUAAUUUACUCAUGUGUUUACUUCGAAUGCGAGCCACGGCAGCACAUUGAUGAGCUACAACAAUGGUUAAGAUCCUAACAUGGAUAGGGCUAAUUUGUGAUGCUUCAAAAGACAGUCAAAUGAGCCUGUAACCAUCUCCUACAAAAAUUAAAAAAGAUUGCACAAAGAUUUGAUGGGGGCAUUUCCAGAGAAACACCCCUCCAAAAAUAGGCGUAUGCCGCUUUAAAGCGGCGAGCACACGGUAUUCUUUAGUAAAAGGCGAAAGAAUAGUUCGCUCUGUGCUCACCGCACGGCUCCGUGAAGCCAAAAGUAGGAGGAGCGUCUCAUUUUGUGUGUGGGAGGUGAUUACUACUAGCUUACUCGCUUUCGAUGUGGGAUUCACCAUGCCUUUUUCCGGUCAUUUUCUUUUCAAAAUUUUUGUGCUCUUUCCAACUCUAUACGUCAGACUUAAUUAAUAUCAUUGACACAGGGAGGAUUUAUUUACUUCUUUACUAGUGUAAUUACAAUAACUAGCUACCAAGAACUCCAAGUUCGAUCGAUCAUUCAUUGAAAAUGCAGCAUAUAGCUAAAAAUGGCUUUUAACAGUGUCAAAAUGUUUCUAAAACACAUUGCGAAGGCAUUCAUUAUCAAAGUUUUGGUGACAAAGACAUUAGAUAUUGUUAACUCUGUUUUCCUCUAUUCUACCUAAACAAAUGCAUCUAACUUUUGAAACUGUAGCAUGUACUAAAUAGGUUGUAUCAUAGUGAGAAGAAGCAGGCAAAGAGUACAAACAUGUAAUAUCCCACACCAACUUCGCAGCCACAGCAGAAACCGACAGCAGGUAGAUUUUGGCAAAAACCUUACCUUUGAAGAGAACCAACAAAAAAUUGAGAUCACAAAGUUAAAUUUAAAAUUCGAUAAUGGCAUAAACAAAAUGACUUUACAGUUUGAUAUCAGAAAACAUGCAUUGAGCAAUUCUUUAGUCCAUUAAUUAUUAUACUUAAGGAAAAAAUUUCAUCAAAUUUCUGCCUCAACAGAAAUAAAAUAAACAGUUCGAAUUAUUGGAAAUUCUCAUUCAUAUUCGCGACAUUUGUAAGUUCAGAAUUUGAGAAGAAGAAAACUAAACCCGCCAUUCAGCUCAUCAAUUCAACCCAACGACUCUAGAUUAGUGAUUGAUAUAUAUUUGCUUGAGUUCUUUUGCCAAAGCAAUCAUUGUUUUGGCCUUUCUUCCAUUGUUCCAAAGAUCCAAGAAAAGUUAGCUCCGUAAAAGUCUUGGGAGUCUUAAAAAAUUUUAAAUUUUUCUUUAAACUUACCUUAGGAAACCAUCUCAGCAUCCCAAAUGUUUUCAGUUAGUUUUGAUGGGGGCAAUUCCGAAGAAACACCCCUCCAAAAAUAGGCGUAUGCCGCUUUAAGCGGCGAGCACACGGUAUUCUUUAGUAAAAGGCGAAAGAAUAGUUCGCUCUGUGCUCACCGCACGGCUCCGUGAAUUUAAAGGGCGAAGAAGCAUUUCAUUUUGUAAGGGGGAGCUACUAACCGCAAGCUCUCUCGCUUUCGAUGUGGGAUUUGAUACUCCUCCUUGCCAUCCACUUUCUUUGAAUUUUUGUGAUUUUUCCAGUUUUAUUCAUUAGGUUUAAUACCCUUGACAAUUGACAACAGAAGGAUCUGCACUUCGUACUUCUUUGUUAGAAUAGAAACAAUUAUUAGCAAUACAACUCCAAGUUAGAUAAUUCGUUGACGAACUUAACUGAAUUCACUGCUUUUCUCAAGAGAAAAAUAUUGUCGUCACAUACUGCUUUCCAUUAUCUGAAAUCACUUCAGAGUUUAGACGGUGUCAAAAUACUUGCACAUGUUAUCAUAUUCAUUUUUCGAGUUUUGAUUCCAAGAUAUUCUUUGUUAACGUUCUUUUAACAUAACUUUGCUUCUCCAAAUGCAAGCAUAUUUAGUUGUAUCUUUGUUAGAAUUGCCACAGCAUAGCAGCCACGGAAGAAAAUCUAGAGCAGAAAAAAAUUUCAUAAUCAGAAUCUGCAAAAAGAGAUUGGUAGUCUGUCAGACAACCGUGUGACCACCCCAGCCAGAGGAGCCCAGCUGAGAACGAUCCUCUACAGCCUCAGCAACCCCAAGGGUCAGUGAUAGCCGUUACUCACGCUCUGAUCAUACGGUCAUAGUUCAUCCACCAGACUUGAUAUCCUGUCUCCUUAGAACUCAAGGACACAGACGUACGAGCCUAUAGAACAGAUCCUGUUCAAGUAAGGUCGUGGCUGUUUGACCGUGCAUGCUCAAUAAGUAUUCUUUUUCCAUUGCUGAAUUUUCCAAUGUGGGAUAAAGGAGCAAAAAGAAACAUGCUUUUCUUGCUCAGAAAUGUUGUCGUUUUCCCUUGAAUAAAGGUUUUAAUCCUCAUACAAAACGUUUCUUUAACACUUUACCACUGUUAGUUGUUUAUGCUUCUUGUUUCUGCAGCUAACUGGCUGACUACUCUGCCAUAACCUCACCCAAACAAACAUAUAACUGUCAGAGACUACUUCCAACUCAUUGAGUUCCCCCAUUUUUCCAACUUCUAAGAAGCUUUUAAAAAAUUCCAAUGCAACAAAAUGGCAUUAAACUUUCAAAGUUUUAGGCACCUUAAUCCAGAUAAUGUAAACUUCAUUUUCCGCUCUGAAAGAAAUUAAACACUUUCAACAUAUUAGAUUUCGUAUUUAUUUUUAUGUUAAAAACAUCAUGAACAUUUGAGAAAUAGGCUUCUAGGGAAUCUUCAAAAUUAUUUUUCCCUAAAGAGCAAUUCAACAAAUUCAUUGUAAUUCGAGUUUGACCUACUUAUCCAGCUCAAUUCCUUGAUGAUGAUUCUAUCGGUCCAUCCCAGAUCGUAAUGCUUCAGAUUGGCAUUCUUUUUCAGAUAAGUUCAAAGACGAGAAGUUUGAGCUUUGAAGAAUUAUUUUUGAACUCACCGAAAAACAUAAAUGAAUUUACAAUUUGAUAUCAGAAAACAUGUAAUGAGUAAUAACACUUUGGUUAAUUGUUUCUAAAGGUGAAAUGCAGAAAAAUCCUGCAAGACUUGCUCCACCACAAUACCACAGGCAAAUAUUCCUACAGCGAAAACUACGGGCUUUGCUCUCGAUAACUCAUUUCUAUCAGAAUCUUUGGAUUCUUGAUUGUGCACUGCCCACGCCAUUGCUGGCGGUAGAACUCCAUAUAGCACUGUCAUACAGUAGCCCCCCUGCAUUAAUGUGUCAACAGGGUGAGUUUGAAAUGUUGUUAAGUUUCCAUUGCUUGAUGUAUGCUUAAACUUACAGCAAUAUCUGUAGCAGCGGAGAAUGCAUCGGGUACUGUUGUCGAGAUGAAGAGGGACGGAGCAACAACCAUUGCCAUUGCAGUGAAGCUGAUCUUAUUUCUUCCCCACCAGUUCCUCAGCCCAAAGAACUCUGUUGAUUCCUUUUAUGCAAAGGUAUUAAUGGUUUGGAACAAAAUGUAAGAGGAACUGAAACUUAAUUGGAAAAAAGAGUCAAACCUACCUUAGACGUUUUUGUAGGGGAAGAGUUCCAUGACAAGCUUUUGAGCUGCUCCUUGAAGAAUUCUGAGAAGCCCAAGAGAGUGCCUAUUAGUGAAGUUCCUACCGCCAUAAGCGAAAAUGCCUCCACCAUUACUGAAACACCGCUCCAUCUCACCCUGAACGUAACUUUGAUAUCAAAUUUAGCACAAAAUAUAAACCAGAAAAAGAAUAGGCAAAUGAGUACAAACAAGCAUGAAAUUCAUUCCGACAGCAGUCUUGAGAUCAAAUUAAAAACUAAAUUCAGAACCGGCAAAAAUGAGAUUUCGAAGUCUGUCAGACAACCGUGUGACCACCCCAGCCGGAGUAACCCAGCUGAGAACGAUCCUCUACAGCCUCAACAACCCAAGGGUCAGUGACGACCAUUACUCACGCCUAUUAGUGAAGUUCCUACCGCCAUAAGCGAAAAUGCCUCCACCAUUACUGAAACACCGCUCCAUCUCACCCUGAACGUAACUUUGAUAUCAAAUUUAGCACAAAAUAUAAACCAGAAAAAGAAUAGGCAAAUGAGUACAAACAAGCAUGAAAUUCAUUCCGACAGCAGUCUUGAGAUCAAAUUAAAAACUAAAUUCAGAACCGGCAAAAAUGAGAUUUCGAAGUCUGUCAGACAACCGUGUGACCACCCCAGCCGGAGUAACCCAGCUGAGAACGAUCCUCUACAGCCUCAACAACCCAAGGGUCAGUGACGACCAUUACUCACGCUCUGAUCACACGGUCAUGACUCAUCCACCAGACUUGAUAUCCUGUCUCCUUAGAACUCAAGGACACAGAGGUACGAGCCUAUAGAACAGAUCCUGUUCAAGUAAGGUCGUGCCUUUCUGACAAGACACUACUUAAUAAGAAGGCUUCUUUCAUUGCUUAAUUCUUCCAUGUGGGUUUCGAUAUGAACAUGGUGGUUUUUGCUUAUCUAUUUGCCUGUCUUGUGUUUAACAUUUUCCAUAUAUGAGAAUACAAUAUUUUAUAUUUUACAAAAGAUUGCAGCAUGCAGUAAUGCAGUGGCUGUCCCCAGAAUUGAAGGUCUACUAUAAAAGUGUUCUUAUCCACUGACCAGCUUGGGUUGUUUAUUUUUGUUUUUGCAGCCCAGCUGGCUACUCAUAAAAAACUAAUGCAUU
rnacentral:lncRNA from 1 species